UAAGGACUUCCGAUAUAAAAGAUUGAAAAUUUCUAUAUUCGCAGAAUACCCAAGUGACAUUUUAGCGACACUUUUCAGGUCUAUAACACAUUUUUUCCUAUAAACUUGAGAAGUGUCACUCAUAAGUGUACAUAAAAUAGUGCAUAAGUGCGCUUAAGAGAUCUGUAUUAGUUGUAUAGAAAGUUUAACAUAUUUGUUACUUGUUGAAAUGUGUAGGACGCCUUGCUCUAUUGGCUUGUCUGGGAUUCGCUGUUCAACAAUCAGUAUACCCUGGCACUGGACCAUUGGACAACUUGGCUGCUCACGUGGCUGAUCCAUGGCACAACAACGUUGGAAACAUCCUUUUCCCCAAUUUCUAGAUUCUGCCCCCAACAAUCCAACAUUUGCUAUAAGAGCUACCUGUAAUAACUCUAUAACAUUAUGUAAUGAUCCAGACCUCAUUUGUGUUGGUAUUCCAGUUUUGUAAUUCAAAUUUUCAAUGAUAUGCUUCAACACUCGUAUUUUGGUAAUUAUUGUGUUUCGUUUUCUUGAUGUUAUAGGAAAGACUCUGUUGAGAACAAUAAAACAUACGGAUUAUCUUUAUACCUCAAAAGAAAUUAUGCUCUAAGAAAGACCUAACUUAUUUAAAAGUUUAUUCAAAAUACAUUUCAUCUCGUCUUUACCCGGACUAACACAUAUAAGAUGAUGAUAAUCACAUGAGAAUAGUUUUAACUCCUUAACCAUGCAUCAUCUUGUCCUAUUGGACAUAGUACAAAUAAGACAAAUAUUACCAUAUAAGAACAACUAAAAGAUGUUCCCCAUUGAUAAAGCUUGGAUCAACCAAAGAAUAAAGCCAUUAAGGACUUAAGUGGGAAAACAUUCAAAAUCUAAAAAAAGUGUUCUCCUUUUCUUCAUGGAGAGAGAACAUUCAAAAUCUUCAAUAGCACGCCUCUUUUAUUUGUUUUAAAUAUUUGCACUAAAAUUAGAAUCAUAAUUUAGAUAAAUGUCAUUAAACCAUAAUGUAGAUGCAUGGUAUACAAAAGGGUGAAAGAGACGUGCUAUUGUAAAUUUUUAAUGUUUUCACUAUAUGAGGAGAAGGAGAAGAUGAAGGAAUGGCUAUAUGACCAUAAAACUUAUAUGUUGUAAGUAUAGAUAGAAAUAGGUUGAGUUAUACUUUACUUUAAACAAAUCCAAUAUAUAUAACAUAUAGUAGUCUGAGAUUGAUUUAUUUAAAAAAAUUAAGACCUAGCUUAUUUAAAAUUGUGUUCAAAAUGCAUCUCAUCUUAUCUUACCCGAACUAACACAUAUAAGACAAGGAUGAUCACACGAGAACACUUUUGUGUCCUUAGAAAUGCAUUCAAUCUUGUCCCAUUAGACGUAGCACAAAUAAGAUAAAAGUGGUCACAUAAGAACAAACAACUCGUACACUAAAAAAUGUCUGCUUUUGAUGAAUCUUCGAUCAACCAAAGAUAAAGCCAUCAAAGACCCAAGUGGGGGGAAAGGGUAGAAUUGGCCUCAUGAUAGACGGGAAAACAUACCAAGUCAAGUAAGAAGAUUACAUAGUCAUGUUACAAACGUUAAAAAAAUGGCUAGAAACAACCACCUAACAUAUUCAGACACCAUAAUACUAAUUUCAGAAUCUCAGAAAUUUGUAUACUUGAGGAUUAAAAUCCAAUUUUGUUCAAUUAUUAUCAUUUUAAUAUGUGAUUUGCUAACCUAAGUAAAGAAAUUUUUUAGUUGGAGUAGAUUAACAUUGUACAUCAAUAUUUUUGGACAAAAUUUAUACUCCUAUUUUAAUUAGAAUAGGUAUAGUAAUAGGGAUAUUUUUAUAAUUUGCAUUUUACAACAAAUUCACCUCACUCAUCUCUAACCCUAUUUACCCUCCACCCCCAAACCAGAAACUGUCUGCCACCGUCGCAAACGUCACCACCGCCUUGCCAGAACCAAAUAGACCCGCAAGCACCACCACAUUGUCAUGCCCACCCCGCUAGAACCGAAUAGAGUCGCACCACCUCACUCCCAGAAGUUGAAAUUAAUCAAUAGAAAUUCCUUGUUCUAGAUAGAGAAAUUUCACUGUCAUUUUCAAAAGGUCAUUUCUUUGCACCUUAGGGUCACUUCUUUUCAUUCUUGAGGAAAGAAAUUUCUUGUCAUUUCCCUUAAUAAUUUUCAAGCUGACGGAAACAAAUCUCAUUAUGUAUACUUUCUGUGUUUAUUAAGAUGGAGAGGGGUUUGGAUGGGGAGGGUGAUUUUUCUUCUUGGUGACAAAUUUCAUUUUGUAUUAGUCUCCUAAAUACAUUUGGUCACCAACACCAACUCAAUGAUCCAUCAUAAAUGAGUGAUUCAUUUUUUCUUACUUUUCUCGUAUAGCUAUUACUCUAGUUAGUUUUCUUUUGGACAUAAUUGUAUGUAUUUCAUGGAGCGAGUACUGUUGUAUGUAUUUCAUGGAGCCAGUACUUGUGUUUGUACGUAGCAAGAUGUUUCUACCCAUAAAUGAUAUUUAUUGUAUGUUACAAAUGACAAUUUUUUUGUUUUUAAUGAAUUUGAAUUGGUAGGGCUUGUUCAAAUGCAGAGAUUUUAAUGCAGUUUCUGGUUUGGGGUAAAUGGGAUUUUCCUAUUUCGAGAGAAAUAUGUUAAUGGGGGAGGGGGAAAAGAUGAGUGAGGUGAACUUUUUUUUGUAAAUUGCAAAUUAUGAAAAUAGUCCGGUUACUAAACCUACUUCAACUAAAAUAGAAGAAUUAAUUUUGUUCAAAAUUUUUGUUGUAUAAUGCUAAUCUAUUUUAACUAAAAAAAACUUCUUUACUUAGGUUAGCAAAUCUCUUUUAAUAUUAACUAUGUGGCUCUAGAUAUAUACUUUCGAAACAUGAAUGAGAUUAUAUUAGUACAAAAAAUGAAAAUAUCAAAUAUGACAUCCCCUCUUGUCUAGUACUAAUUGUUUGAAUUUGAUGGUUUUCAACAAUAAAUUAAUGGGCCAUUAAUGAGAAUUUUUGAGAUUUGCAAUGAAAAAACUCUAAAGGAAAGUAAAAAAUAAGGUCGUUGGGAAUAUGACCGUUGAGGACCGUUAGGAAUGCAUCUCCCAUUUGGGUCGUCGGAUGAAUAUGAUCGCUGGAGACCUCAUGCUAUAAAUGGAGGUCUUCUCCCUUUAUAUUUCCUUGCACCAAUUGAACAAUAUUUCCUCAAUUUUCUUCUUUCUCCUUCAUAUUCUCAUUCGAAGCAUUUCCGGCAAACUUCUAUUUUUUCUUUCCAUGACACUAAGAAUUGACAUAUGUAGUCAAAUUAUGGGAAUUUCGAGAACUGUCACCGGUAGUUAGAUUGUAGAAAAAUAGAAUUGGCACGAGUAGUCAUAGUGUGAGCAUUUCGAGAAUUGACACUUGUAGUCAUACUAUGAUGGAUGUAUUCGAGAUUAAUUCUUACAGUGCAGUAAGAAUUUGAUAAUAGAGAGCUAGGUUGUUUUAUCCAGGGAACGAUUUGGUUGAUAGUCUGCUUGCACAUUUUGGGGAGUGCCACGAAAAGUCUUAAAGAGAGCGACCCGAUCGUGUCUCAAUUAAUAAAGUAUUCUUCCGUGCCAAUUGUUGCAAGCUAUUGUAACAACAAUUUUAAGACGUUUCCUUCUACAAUGACAUUCGUAGAGAAUACUACUAGGUCAAAAAAAAUUGACAUUAACAAACAAUUUUAGUUUGAUGGGAUUAAUUUCAAAUAGUGAUGACAUAUGAUGAAAUUCUUUCUCACUAUGAGAAAGGUUGCCAAUUUUUUGAAAAUCGAUGUCCUAAUGGUGUCGGAGGAAGCUGAAACAAAGGAUAAGGAUAAAUUGGAUAUUGAUAUAGCUAUUUGGAAUAAAAAUGAUUAUUUUUGUAAGAAUUUCAUUUUGAAUGAGUUGUCUAAUGAUCUCUAUGAUUAUUAUAAUCUAUACAAGCUUGCCAAAUUAAUUUGUUAUGCAUUUGGAAAAAAUAUGAUACAGAGGAAAGUGAGACUAAAAAGUAUGAUAUUAGUCGCUACCUCAAAUAUCAGAUGACCGAUGAUAAAUCAACAGAGUCUGAAUCACAUGAGUAACAGAGAAUUGCUCAUGAAAAUAUUUAUAGGGUAUGCCCCGAGAUGAACAAUUUCAAGUGGCUGUCAUUAUUGACAAACUGCCUACUAGUUGGAAGGACUUCAAAAACCUUCUAUGACACAAGUGAUCAUUGAGUCUAACAAUGCUUACUUCAAUGAAAAUAAAUUCCCUUUUCAAUUGAGAAAUAGUGUGGGCAUAUCAACUAGUCACAUAUAUGUGAUUAGAGAUAAUGAUAAAACGAAGGGUUAGAAAUAGAAAGUAGAAGAAGUAAGAGAGCAAGAACUGCUAAAUAGUAUGGAUCUGAUUAUAUGUUCAAUACAUUAUAGGAGAAUCCAUCAACUCUCCAAGAAGCUUUGACUUCUUUCAAUGUUGAUUUGUGGCAAGAUGUCAUAAAUAACGAAAUGGAUUCUCUAGAGUAUAACAAAACCUGACAUUUAGCUGACUUGCCUCAUGAUUGCAAACCUAUUGAUUGUAAGUGGGUAUUACAAAAGAAACUGAAACCUAAUGGUACACUGAAUAAAUACAAGACUUGUCUUGUAGCCAAAUUUUUAAACAAAGGGAGAAUAUAGAUUUCUUCGACGCAUUUUCACCUAUGACUAGAAUAACAUUCAUUAGAGUACUAAUAUCGCUCACUACGAUACAUGAUUUAGUAGUACAUCAAAUGAAUGUUAAGACUGCAUUUUUAAAUUGUAAUUUGGAAGAAGAAAUCUAUACGGAACAACCUGAAGGUUUUGUAUUCCAUGGGCAAGAAAAUAAGGUUUGCAAGUUAGAUAAGUCGUUGUAUGGUCUUAAACAAGCACCUAAAGAGUGACAUGAAAAAUUUGACAAUUUAAUUGUUUUGAAUGAGUUUAAGGUAAAUGAAAGUGACAAAUGCAUUUAUUUCAAAGCAGAAAAUGACAUUUGCACUAUCAUAUGUCUCUAUGUAAAUGACCUACUCAUAUUUGGUUCCAACAUUCAUGUUGUGAAUAUUGUGAAAUUAUUAUUGUGUAACAACUUUGAUAUGAAAGGCCAUGGAUAGGCAAGUGUAAUCGUUGAUAUAAAUAUUACUAGGUCAAAAAGAAGGAAUUUCUUUGGAUCAAUCUCACUAUGUGGAAAAGAUUUUAAAGAAAUAUAAAUAUUUUGACAGUAAACCUACUAGCACAUCAUAUGAUCCAAGUGUAAAAUGUUUUUGGAACAUUAAUGAAGGUCUAAGACAAACUGAGUAUGCUCGCAUCAUUGUAGCUUUCGGUAUGUCACUGAUUGCACAAGACCUGAAAUUGCCUAUGUCGUGGGAUUAUUGUGCAGGUUUACCAGUAGACCUAAUAUGGAGGAUUGACAUGAUAUAGAAAGGGUAGUGAGGUACCUCAAGAAAACAAUAAACCUUGAAUUAUAUUAUUGAAGGUUUCUAGCUGUCCUAGAAGGAUUCAACGAUGCUGAUUGGAAUAUCCUUUCAGAUAAUUCUAAAGCAACCAGUGGUUAUAUACUUAGUAUAGAUGGUGAGGCUGUUUCUUGGACGUCAAGGAGACAAAUUUAGCUCAAUUCAGUAUGGAAGUUGAGAUGAUAGCACUAGCAACAACUAGUGAAGAAGCAAGUUGACUGAGAAGCUUGCUUAUAGAGAUUAACAUAUGAUAAAAACCAAUACCAGCUGUAUUGAUUCAUUAUGAUAGUACCACAACUAUUGCAAAGAUUGAGAACUAUUUUAUAAUGAUAAGAAACGAAAAUACGUCAUAAGCACAAUACUAUAGAGAGUUACUCACUACAAGAGCUUUUGAAGUGAAUCAUGUACACACUUAGAAUAACUUAGCAGAUCCUUUGGCGAAAGGAUUAGCUAGAUAGAGUGCAUAAUAUUUCUAAGACUAUGAGACUAUUACUCUUAGAACGAAGAUCACACAUGAAGGUAACCCGACUUAACUGAUCCUAAGAAAUGUGUUCAACGGAUAAUAACAAGUUGUGAAGUGAUAUGAGAAUGAAUAUGUUAUAAAAUUAUGAGAAUCAUGAUUCGUGCAUUAAGGAUGAGUUAAAAUCUUAAUGAGAUCUAUAUUCCAAUUUGAGUGAAGUACUUAGACUACAUGAGUACUCUUGAUAGACUGACCUACGUGAAUGUGGAGGUGAUGACCACUUCCUAUGAAAUUUUGGGUCAUAAACUUAUAGAGUAUUCAUUAUACUGGAAUAGACAUGCAUGACAUUUAACACAUAGGUUUUAUAGAAUACACAUUUGAAAAUGUUGUGUGUAGUUUGAUGUUGAAGAUAGAGUUCAAGACUACGAGUCACUCUAGUAAAAUCUGGAUCUUAUUUACUAUACAAAGUUUCAAGUCGCAUGACACAUUUGUUUAAACACAAUCUUAUUGAGACCACAUAAAUUCUCGGAAAUUAUUUUUUAAUUUCAACUAGGGGAUUGUUGGAUUUUGAUAGUUUUCAACAUUAAAUUAAUGGGUCAUUAAUGAGAAUUUUUUGGGAUGUGAAAUGAAAAAACUAUAAAGGAGAGUAAAGAAUAUGGCCGUUGAAAAUAUAAUCGUUAGGAAUAUGGCCAUUCAGAAUAUGACCCUUGGGGAUAUGGCUGUUGGAUCAUGUGACCAUUGGAAUGCUUCCCCCGUCUAGGUCGUUAGAUGAAGAUUGUCAUUGGAGGCCUCAUGCUAUAAAUAGAGACAUCCUCCCUUCAUAUUUUCUUGCACCAAUCAAACAAUAUUUCCUCAAUUUUAUUUUUUCUCCCUCAUACUCUCAACCAAAACAUUUCCAGCAAAAUUCUCUCUCUUUCUUUCCGUGACACUAAGAAUUUGGCACAUGUAGUCAUAUUGUGGACAUUUUGAUAAUUGACACUCGUAGCCAUAUCGUGGUGGGUGUAUUCAAGACCAGUUAUUAGUAAUCCAAAAAUAAUUUGAUAACAAAGAACUAGACUAUUUUAUCCUAGUGACGACAUAGUCGAUAGUCUAUUUGCAUAUUUUGGAUAGUGCCACAAAAUGUCUUAAAAAGAAUGACCUGGUGGUGACUCAACCAAUAAGUAUUAUUUCGUGUCAUUUAGAAUUGUUGCCAGCAACGGUAACAGCAAAGUCGGGCAAGAAACUAGUGAUGACAUAAAUUGAUUGUAAAACCUAUCAGAUAAAGAAGGUAAAUGGAAAGGGAAUUUGCUCCUUGUGCAUGUGCGUGCACGUAGUAAGUGUAGACUCCCUUUAACAUUCAACCAUCAUCUUGUGAUCAAAAUACAUAGGAAAGUUGUUUCUAGAGCGCAUAAGAAAAUAAAGAGAAUCAAAAUACCAUUUCUAUUAGGCCAAGUUGUUGGUAACCGUAAUUCACCAUCACAAGCAUUUAAGAAAGGCAUGCACUAUGAAGUAACUAAGACACCACAAUAAAGGGCAUGGCAAAUGGGGCCAAAACACUAUUCAAUCCUUGUAGUGUACGAUUCAAGAAAGGCAUGUUGUUCCCCGAAUAUUGGCAUGUUGCAAUUGUAACAUUUUUCUCAAUCAUACACUCAAAUUCUCAUAAGAAGGUCCUUGAAAUGAGAAACAACACCACUAAGAAACUUGACUUUGCAUCUGGUUCGACUUUCUCACAAAAACUCAUUCCAAACACAAAUAAUUGUCUUACCCUAAAAUACAAGUCAUGAGGUGUGUAUGUCUUAUGUUAUUUAUAUAUAUUAGAUAUUCAAUGUUUUUCAUUAUAUUUUUUUGUUUAGGGAUAAAUUUAAAUUUUGAAAUUAAAUCUUGUUAUUAAUACAAAUUUUCGAAUAAAGUAUUAAUUACUUUCUAAACACUUAAAAAUGCUUUUCGUGAUAGAAAACCCUACUAAUUAUAUAUAGUUGUAAAAUUAUUGUAAUAUUCGUAAAAUGGUAAAACAAAUAAUUAUUUAACUUUAUAAAAAUUAAAAGUACUUGAAAAGCUUAUUCUAGAUUGAAAUUCAUUAAUGACACUAUAAAAUCUCAAAAAUUAUAGCAUUAUCCACAAAUAAGUAAAAAUAAUUAUUUGACUUUUAUAAAAUUGCAAAAAUAACUAAAAUAUCAUUUUUUUAUUUUAUUAAAGAAAAAAAUGAGAGGAAUUAAGACAUGUAAUACAAGAACAACUAAUCAACUUUUUCGUCCAUCAAAUAAUAUUUAAUUUAUUACUGUUAUUAUCGUUACUCGACGACUAACUAAUUCCACUGUUUAAAAUUAAAUAAAAGGGAGUAGGUUCCAACAACAAAAAAGCAUCUUUGACAAUCACAAAAAAAAAUAUUUUUUUCAAAUGAAAUCUCUCUACUCUUACACAAUAAAUAUAUAUUAAAAUUAAAUCGUUUAAAACCAUUUUUAUUCUUUAUAUUAAAAGAAAACGAAAAUUGUUGGAUUAAUUUGAAAUUAUAUACAAUCAUUAUGAUCCAAUUAAUGUUAUUAAUCCAUUUAAAACCAUGGGUACCCAUAAAAAUGUUAACAACAGAUACUCACGAUAAUAGUUUAUGAGUGAAAAUGAGUUUGAUGAUACCCGCUACAUGGAUAGAGAUGGCAAAACGGGCAACCCGACCCGUUUAGCCCACCCCACAAAUGCCCGCAUUGAUUUAAUGAACAAAAUUCAAUGCCCUGCCCGUUUUAAACGGACUAACGGGCUUGCGUGUGGUCGGCAGACAUUGUAUAAAUAAUUAAAAAUAAAAAUAAAAAUUCAUAUAAUAAAUGAAACGAAAUUAAAUAAAGUAGUUGAAGAUAAAAAAUUAACAAUUUUUUUUUUAUAUUUAUAUGAAGUUUAAGAAAUCACAUUAGAUUACAAUUUUUUUAGGGAUUAAAAAUCACAUUACAUCAUAACUUAUUUAAAAUUUCUUAAUUUUUCCUUAAAUUAUGUUUAUGGGUCGUCCGCAGGCUGCCCGCUUGCCCAACGGAAAUGCCCGUGAACUUGGCGGGCAAAACAGACAAAUGAACAAAAUUUGUAUGUCUGCUCGCAAAAAAUACAGGCAUGCCUGCGGGCAAUAUCCGUUUUGCCAUCUAUACUUAUGAGUACCUGCAUAUUUAUAUUAAAUUUUAUAUAAGUUAUAGUUUUUUAUUAUUAUUUUAAAAUUAUAUAUUAUACACUUUAUUAUUAUUUCGUAAUAAAUUACUUUGAUUUAAUUAUAAUUUUAUACUUAUAAUAUAAAUACUUUAUUAUUCCUGUCAUAACUAAUUUUAUAUAUUAAUUAUUACAAAAUAUAUAAAUAUAUAAUUAAAAUAAAAAACUAGUUGAAUAUGAAAUAUCGGAAAUACCCCUUACAGUUUUGAUUUAGGAAUGGAAACAACUACUCAGCGAUCACGCGACCAGAUUGUCAUCCAUAACAAAGAUCAAAUGGACCAGUGACAAGUCACACUCUACCAUCACUAUCCAAUGAAAUCAAAUUUUAGAUUUACCUAUAUCCACACCAUUCUCCUCUAUAUAUUCAUAUGUUUCUCUUCAUUGUUACAAACACACAAUUCUGAAUUCUCUUCUCUGAACAGUGAUAUUAGGAUUGUUUCAAAAAUAUGGCAACCAACACAUUGAUGAGCUCUGCUAUCUCAGCAUUCGCAUCUCCUCUUUCUUUCUCAAAAUCAAGAUCUCCCACUUCAGUUGCAGCUUCACGCAGUGGUACCAAAUCAUCAGGUCGCUUAUCCUCUUCUGCUGAGUGGUUCCCUGGCGAGCCUAGACCACCUUAUCUUGAUGGUUCAGCUCCUGGGUAAGCAUCAAUUUAUUGUUAUAAAUGAGAAAAUUUAAUAUGAACGAUUACAUCUUAUUUAAAAUUUCAAGACUAAAAGAUACAUGCAAAUGAUAGAUGACUCUGAUGUGACCAAUAAGUAACAUUUAACAUGCACAUUAUUCCUAUAUAUAUUAUAGGAAUAAUGGGGACUGAAAUCAAAUUUCAGUAUAUUUUCAAGUAUGAAACAGACAUUUAGACAUAAUUAAAAUUAAUUGUACAUACAUUGAAGUGGUGGGCGAUUACCCAUGAUGUUUUGUCACCCUUUGAAUCUGUCAUAGGGUGAGAAAUCUUGUAUGAUUUUAUGAUGAUUGUGUUAUACAUUGUUGUUCCUUUUGUGUUUCAGUGACUUUGGGUUCGACCCUCUUGGUCUUGGUAGAGAACCAGAGAAUCUUGAGAGAUUCAAAGAAUCAGAAGUCUUCCAUUGCAGAUUAGCUAUGUUUGCUGUUGUAAGUGUCACUUUCAAAGUAGAUAACUAUAUAUCCUUAAAGUAAUUUGCAGUGUUUUAAAUUGUGGUUGCGACGAUGGUCGCGAUUGCAGUUAUUGCGGCCGUUGCAUGCAGAUUACUUUGUUUUUUUUAAUUCAAUGCGGCUUGAUGUGGUCUGAUGCAGUUGUGCUGCGGUCCGAUAUGACCGUAUCAUUGUGAUUCGUUGUUAUAUUGUGUAAUGCGGCUGCAAUGGUCAUCGCAACUGCAAUACUGCAGCCUCAUCACAUGAUGUUGUGUGCAAUUUGAAUAACUAUUAAUCGAGAAAAUUAAGAAAGCUUAUUAGUAAGCUGAAAUUUGUUGAAUUUUGCAGCCAGGAGUUUUGAUACCAGAGGCAUUGGGUUUAGGAAAUUGGGUACAAGCUCAGGAAUGGGCUGCAGUUCCUGGAGGUCAAGCAACUUACCUAGGCAACCCUGUUCCAUGGGGCACCCUCCCAGUCAUUCUAGCAAUUGAGUUCCUUGCUAUUGCCUUUGCGGAAGUCCAAAGGGUAAUGGAGAAAGACACUGAGAAGAAGAAAUACCCUGGUGGAUUUUUUGAUCCUUUGGGAUACUCUAAGGACCCUGAAAAGUUUGCAGAAUACAAAGUCAAAGAAGUUAAGAAUGGUAAGCACUUUUGAUAUAAAAGAUCAAAAAUCUCUAUUUUUGCAUGAUACCCGAGUGACAUUUUAGCAACACUUUUCAUGUCUAUAACACAUUUUUUCCUAUAAACUUGAAAAAUGUCACUCAUAAGUGUACAUAAGUGCUCUUAAAAGAUCUCUAUUAUUGAACAUUGACAUUACCUGUAUAGAAAGUUUACCAUAUUUGUUACUUGUUGAAAUGUGUAGGACGCCUUGCUCUAUUGGCUUGUGUGGGUUUCGCUGUUCAACAAUCAGCUUACCCUGGCACUGGACCCUUGGAAAACUUGGCUACUCACUUGGCUGAUCCAUGGCACAACAACAUUGGAAAUGUCCUUAUUCCCAAUUUUUAGAUUUUGCCCCCAACAAUCCUAUAUUUGUUAUAAGAGCUACCUGUAAUAAAACUCUAUAACAUUAUGUAAUGAACCAGACCUCAUUUGUGUUGGUAUGCGGUAUGCCACUGUUGUAAUGAAACUUUUCAAUGCUAUGCUUCAACACUAUUUUGGUAAUUAUUGUUUGCUAAGAAAUAAUCACAUGAGAACAGUUUUAAGUCCUUAACAAUGCAUCUCAUCUUAUCUUACUCAACGUUGUACAAAUAAGACAAAAUGAUGACAUAAGAACAACUAAAAAACUUCCGCCAUUGAUGAAGCUUCAAUCAACUGAAGAAUAAGGCCAUCAUGGACCCAAGUGGGGAAAAUGUUCAAAAUCUAAAAGAGUAUUCUCCUUUUUGUCAUGAGUGAAAACAUUCGAAAAUAUUCCUAUUUCAUUUGUUUUAAAGAUUAUUGAGGUAAAUAUUAUCUCUAAGUGAGAUGCAUUGGAGGAAAUUUUUUAGCUCUAAGCGACUUGCACUACAAUUAGAAUCAAAAGUUUAGAUAAUUGUCAUUAAAUCACAAUGUCUAUGCAUGGUAUAAAAAACGGUGACAAGGCAUGUUAUCGUAGAUUUUCAAUGUUUUCACUCUAUGACGAAAAGGAGAACAUGAAGGAAUGACGAUAUAGCCAUAAAACUUUUAUGUUGAAAGUAUGGAUAGAAAUAGGCAAGUUACACUUUAUUUUAAACAAAUCUAAUAUAUAUAACACAUAGUAGCCUCAGACUCAUUUUUUAUUUUUUUAAGACCUAACUUAUUUAAAAGUGUGUUUAAAAUGCAUCUCAUCUUAUCCUAUUCAACGCAACACAAAUAAGACAAAAAUGACCAUAUAAGAACAACUAAAAUUAUCCACCUUUAAUAAAGCUUCGAUUAACCAAAGAAUAAAACCAUUAAGGGUCCAAGUGGUGGAAACAUUCAAAAUCUAAAAAAUGUUCGUCAUAGAGUGAAAACAUUCAAAAUCUAUAAUUGAAUGCCUCUUUCAUUUGCUUUACAAUUAGAAUAAGAGUUUAGAUAAUUGUCAUUAAACCAUCAUGUCAAGGCAUGGUGUAAAAAAGGGUGAAAGAGGUAUCCUAUUAUAGAUUUUGAAUGUUUUCACUCAACAAUGAAAAAGAGAACAUGAAGGAAUGGUGUUUUUGCCAUAAAACUUAUAUGUUGAAAGUAUGGAUAGAAGUAGGUCAAGUUAUACUUUAUUUUAAACAAAUCCAAUAUAUAUAACAUAUAGUAGCUUGAGAUUAAUUUAUAUUCAAAAUGGAUUUCAUCUUGUCUAACCCAGACAAGAACAUAUAAGAGUAGGAUAAUGAUAUGAGAACACUUUUAAGUCCUUAGAAAUACAUCUCAUCUUGUCCCACUCGAUGUGACACGAAUAAGAUAAAAGUGAUCACAUAAGAAAAAAUAAUUCUUACACUAAAAACUGUCUGUCUUUGGUGAAUCUUAGAUCAACCAAAGAAUAAAGCCAUCAAGGACCUAAGUGGAGGAAAAGGUGUUGAAUUGGCCUCAUGAUAAACCAGACAACAUACCACGUCAAGUAAGAAGAUUAUCUAGCCAUGUUACAAACAUUACAAAAUUGGCUGGAAACAACCACCCAACAUAUUCAGAAACCAUAAUACUAAGGAAAAAAGAAAAUCACUCUUAAUUGAGAAUGACAUUGUAAUGUCGCUUCCAAAAAAGGAAUGAUGGCAUAUUUCUUAGGAAGAUUCUUCACACACAUAAUAUAACUAAUUUCAUAAUCUCAUAAAUAUGUAUCCUUGAGGAUUAUAAAUCCAAUUUUGUUCAAUUAUUAUCAUUUUAAUAUUUACUAUAUGGCUAACUUGUUAUACACCUGACUCUAGAUAUCGUCAAUGGAAAACUAUCCCAAAUGGGAAAAACCAUAUAAGAACACUUCUGAAACACAAAUGAGAUCAUACUCGUACAGAAAAUGAAGACAUCCAAUUUGACACCCCUCAUGUCCAAUACUAAGUUGGGCAAGAAGCUAGCGAUGACAUAAAUUGAAUGUAAAACCUAUCAGAUAAAGAAGGUAAAUGGAAAGGAAACUUGCUCCUUGUGGAUGUGCACUUAGCUAGAAUUUUUUAAACCAAUGUUAUGAAAUCUAAGCCGAAUGUCAACUCGGAAGAGGUCCCAUAUAGGUUUUAACCGAUUUAACCGGUUAGACUGUUUGGUUGGACCGGACAACAUCAUGAUAUGAUAUAUAAUUAUAUAUCAUAUAAUUAAUUAACAUAAGUGAAUAACAUACUUUAUCAAUAUCAUGUUUUGCAUAAUGCAUACACAUAUAAAUCAAAAUUAAAGUGCAUCAAACAAGUUUAAGUCUUAUAUAAUUAGAAUUUUAAAUCAAAACACAACUCUCUCAUAUAGAUACUAAAUUGUCUUCUAAUUCAUCCAAAUAUUAUUAUCAUCAUUAGACACUAAAUUGACAUUACCAGUUAGAGAUGUAGUUAAAUUAUAACUAUCCACAUCUUCUUGAUGAAAAGAGUCCAUAUUAAAUUCUCCAUAAAUAGUAAGAUUCUUUUCUUCAAUAAUACCUACAAAUUAGAAUAUAAAUUACGUUAACUUGUAGAAACAUUGGAAUAUACAUUAGAUUAAUCUAAUAUAUAUAAAAUUAAAUUGUACAUUAGAUUAAAACAAUCCUUCAUCAUCCUUUGUUAAAUCAUGUAUUGGGUUUGAGAAUCCAUAAUAUAACAUUUUUUCUAUUUCGUCAUAAUCAACUAAUGAAGUUUUUUCUUCUUCUUCUUCAGUAAUCCAAAAAUCAAUGUUCUCAUAGUCAACGGGAUCAAGUGUUCUUCUUUUGUUGAUGGCCCUAUCAUUCCAAUAAAUAUGAUAUAUUAAUACCAAAUAGUAUAACACCUAGUAAAUAUUGACAAUUAAGUUAAAAUAAAGUGUAGAUACAUCACAAACCUAUUUUGUAAGCCCAAGUUAUAGUGCAAAUAUACUAGAUCAUUCAACCUCCUAUGCUCUAAUUUAUUCCUCUUCUUUGUGUGAAUUCUUUCAAAUAUACUCCAAUUUCUUUCACAACCAGAAGAAGAUGUUGUUUGGCUCAAAAUUUGAAUAGCUAAUUUGGAUACCAUAGGAGCACUAUAUCCAAAUUGUGACCACCAUUGAUCUAAAUAAAUAUCACAAAAAUUAGCAUGCCAUCAAAGUAUUACACUUUUACAUAAUAUUUCAAUAAGUUGAAAAAUUAAAAAAUUAAAUCUUAUCUGGUCGCAAGUGUUUAACUGUUUCAAUUGUCAUAGUAUUGCCAAAACUCUCAACUUUGUAAUGAUAAAUGCAACUUUGUUUGAAAAACUCGGUCUUGCUUGUUGUAACUUUUGCUUGUAAAACAUCAAGUCAAUAUUGUUGAACCUCUGAUUUGAUAUAAAAGUCCUCCUUAUCAUAGUAGAAUGUUGGAUUUAAAAAGUAUGCUGCACAAUGUAAUUUUGUUCGAAGUUGUUUAUCCCAUCUUUGCUUUAAAAUUCUUGUAUAAGGCUUAUACAAAGACUUUUUAUUCAUGAACACAUUCUUAACAAUUUUCCUUGAUCUACGCAUUCCAUCAUACACAUAAGGUAGAGAAGGUCAAUUAUCUGCAUCAAUAAUUCUUCACAAUCGAAUUAACGGAGCCACAAUAUUGACAAUAAUUGUGCAGUCAUUCCAAAAUCUAUUAUCCAUUACAACAUCCACAAAUCUAUUUGCUUUCUUGUCUAUAUAAUAUCUAGAAUCAAUAAAACAUGUACUAGUUACCAAAGCUUACAAAUCAUAUUUGUGUUCAUGAAUGCUUUUCAGUGGAAUGAAGGUUGUUGCAAAACGAGUUGCCCCAGGACGUAUGAUUUCUUUCCAUCCUUGCCUUUUCCUUAACCAUGUCAACAAAAACCCAUGAUUAUACACAAACUUUGUUAUAUCAGAUACACUCUUAGCUAAGGUACUCACAUGCUCCAUUUUUCCAAUGUCUCCUAAAAUCAAAUUUAAACAAUAUGCAACACAAUGAGACCAAUAGAUAGAUGGAAACUUGUCAUUUAACAUAACUCCUAUAACUUUAUAAUUUGUACUAUUAUCGGUAACCAAGUGCACAACAUUGGUUACUCCAACAAACUCAAUUAACUGAAUAAAAAAAUGAAAUUUUUUUUUAGCGACAUCAGAUGCAUCAACAGAUCUAAAAAAAGUUAUUUCCUUUGGAGAAUAUACAUGAAAAUUGAUAAGUUGCCUAUUUCUUUGAUCUAGCCAACCAUCAGCCAUGAUGGUGCAACCAGUUUCUUUCCAAAAAUUCCUAAAGGUCUCAGCUAACAAGUCAACUUUCUUCUUCAUUUCAUACAAUAAAUUAGAUCUGAUGGCAUAAUAACUAGGACCAUUAUAACCAGGAUCAGUUGCAACAAUUACAUCUAUUAUAGGUUGAUAGUAAACUGAAUUUGCACAAUUAAAUGGAAUGCAACAAUCAUAAAAGAAUCGAGCAACUACCAUAUCAGCUUUGUGAAUAGCAUCUUUACCUGCAAAGCCCAUUAUGAUUGAAGGUUGAGUUUCCGCAGUAGUUCUUGGAGCAAAGAAAUUGUUUAUACUAUGAUUUGGUCUUUUAUUUGUUGUCUCUGAUUCUUUACCCUUGGGCAUAUCUCCUUCAUGUUGCAUAACAUUUUCCUCAUAUGGAUCUUCUUCCCCUUAAGUUCAAUUAGUCCAUCUUUUUCUACUACCACUAACUUGAUCCAAGUGUUUUCUAAGUCGAUGCUUAACAUAAAAAUGGACUGAAAGACAAGAUAGAACAUCUCCCUUUACUCCAACAAGAUGUUUAAUUUGAUAUAUUCCUCCACCUUUGUAACAUUUUUAGCAAUACAAACAUUUUAUCAUUUUUUCCUUCAACAUCUUGUUGUAAUUGACAAUGAUCCCAUGUUGGGUCAGAUUUUGCUCUAACAGAUUGAGUAGUAGAAGCUACUACUUGAGUUGUAUUUGGAGAAUUUGCAGAUGAUGUCAUAUAUGAAAUUAAAAAAAUUUACACAUUAAAGUAAAACUAUUUAUUAAUUAAUCACAAAGAAUGAAUGAGAUGGAUUCUAAUGAAAAGUGACAUGUCAGCUUAUACUUUACCUAUUUUUGCUAUUACUUUAGCCGUUACAAAAAGUAACAUGUCAACUUUAUUUCAUGUCAAUCUAGAAUCUCUAUCGUUUAAAUUUACUAUAUUUUUCCCGCACAAAGUAGCUUGUUAAAAAACAAGUGAAUAAAAAUCCAAGUGUUGCUAUUGCUGUACAAUUUUAUUGAAUAGAACAGAUGUACAACACGUCAAACAUAUUUCUAUUAUGUAGCAACUACCAAGUAGUAACAGUUGCACACCUUCUAUUCUCUCAUUAGAGGCUAUAGCUAAAAGACAAUGAAAUAUCUCUUUAUCCCAUCAAUGCAAAUUUGUAUAACACGUAUCCUCUCAUUACAGCCAGCCAUACGAAGCAUUGUGUGUGUAUUGUGCAUCUUUCUUAUUCUAUCAUACGCUAUAGUGAAAUUCAUACAAUAUAAUGAAAUUAAUGUCAAAGCAAAGAUAAAUUAUUGCACCUCUUCGUGUUCAUGACGAUGAGUAAUGAUGGUGAGAGCCAUCAACCUCUUCAUGAGUAUUGAGUAUUGAGUUCUUUGCAGUUUCUUCUACACAAUUAGGAUUUCUAUUUUGUUUUGUUUGUGAGUAAUGAGUGUUGUUGCUUCUUGUUGUUACUAACUUUGGAUAACUGUUAUUGACUUACUUUGUAAUUUAGGUUUGGCCGACGGUUUAGGUAAUUGAGUUAACUCGGGCUAACCCGACUGGACCGGAUUUUAGAGAAACGUGACCGUGUGUGGCACCGACUGACGGUCGAACCGUACGGUCCGGUCCUAAUAAUAGUGCUUUUAACAUUCAAUAAUCAUCUUAUGAUUAAAAUACAAAGGCAAAUUCUUUCUAGAGCACAUAAGAAGAUAAAAAGAUUCAAGGUACCAUUUCUAUUUGGCCAAGCUGAUGGUAACCAUAAUUCACCAUCACAAACAAUUAGGAAAUGCAUGCAUUGUGAAAUAACUAAGACACCACAAUGGAUCAGAGGGCAUGACCAAUGGGGCCAAAACACUCUUCAAUGCUUGUAGUGUACGAUUCAAGAAAGGUCUGUUAUUCCAUGAAUACUGGCUUGCUGCAAGUGCAACAUUUUGCCCAGUCAUUAGCUCAAAUUAUCAUAAGAAGGUCAUUGGAAUGGGAAACAACACUAGUAAGAAACUUGACUUUGCAACUAGUUCGACUUUCUCACCAAAACUAAUUCUGAACACAAACAACAAUCUUAUCCUAAAGUACAUGUUACGAACACUCAAUUUUGUCCGGCUUAUUUACGGCAUUUAAGAAAAACAUGAAAAGUUUCCAUAAUAACAAAAAAUAAUAAUAAAAUUUAAAAAUAAACAUAAUUUGGAAAUAUUAGAACAUAUUCUUUAACUAUACGGUUUUUACCCAUCUUUAAAAAACGUUUGAAUUGUUGGUAGUUUCACUUUCAUUUAUUUCUCUGAUGAAUAUAAUAACAAAAAAUUAAUCUCUCAAUUAACUAAUUGUCCAUUAGUUAGGGAGUUACAAAUUUUUUUAUGAUAAAGAAAACAUAUAGAAAUGAAUAGGAACAACUUUUUAGAUAGUUCAUUUUCGUGAUUACCAUUCCAAUCCACGUACACUAUAAAAGCUUUGUUCAUUUUGGAGCACUAGUGAGUGAGGAGGUGCAGAGGAAAAGACCAAAAGUGUGAGUCAGCGAGUCACACAUUCUUCAUUCAUUCAAAUUCAAUUAUCUAUCUUUCUCUCUCUUGCUUGAAUAGAAGAUGGAAGGGUUUACAAAUAUUAAAGUUUGGCAUGAGCCAUGAAUAAUCUUCUUGAUGAAACAAGAAAGAUGAGAAAAUACAUGAAUGAAAAAGAAAAGAAGGAAGAACGAAGAAUAUUGUAUUUCAUUAUUCUCAUUCUGAUUAUAAAGUAUUAGAAUUAUCCUUUAUAUACUACAUCUACCAAAUGAAAAGAAAACAAGAAAAACAAAAUGAAAAAUAGAAAAACAUAAUUACAACUAUUUUAACAUUCCUGCAAGCUUUAAUGUAUCAUAUAUUCCAAGCUUGAAAUGAUUGUUUUGAACACCAUCUUAUACUCUAGUACCUCCUCUAGUUGAUGAGUGAAUCUUGAUCUCUCAGUCAUGAGAUCUGAAUAUGAAGCAAUGGCGAUGCUUAACCACCUUUGGCAUAAGCAAUUUCAUCAUACACUUAACCAUUUAUUUGAUAUAAGCCUAAUCAUCAAAUGCUUAACCAUCAACUUGAUAGAAGCAAACCAACCAUAUUGGAUGAAAGAGAGAGAAAAAUGGAUUUUAAUCUUAAUCCUAAUAUGUUGCUUCAAUAAUGUAAAAUACACACUAUAAUAACGUUGUGUGUUUAAUGAGAAGAGUAAAGAAAAUAGAGUAUGAAGAAAUAAGGGUAAUUUGGGUAAUUGAUAAAGUAUAAGAAAAGAAUGUGUAAUCUGUGUGAUAAAAAAAUUCAAAGAAUAUCAUCUAUAGGUGUGGAUUUAAUAUCCAUUUCUGCCAAUGUCCUGCCUAUAGUGUGUGUGAUCAAUUUGCUCUUUGCAGCUUGUACAUACACCAUAUGGCAGCAACUAGAUCAAAGCACUUUCCAGCAAAGGCAAAGAAGCAUAGUGCAAGUUUCUCUGAGAAAGAACAUGAUGGUGAAUGUAAGAAACAAGAGCUAGCUAUUGUGGGUUUGAGUUUGGUUAACUAAUCUAACAAUGUGAGAACUAGAAUAUCCCCUUUGACCACCUUCCCUUCUAAUCGUGUGCACAACAUCAAUAAGAAAAAGAAUGAAACCACCAAUUCAUUAGCAAUUAAUAUGAAAUGGGUUCUAAUUAGAGUAAAUUGAGCUCCAUCAAUUUUGUUAACAACCAGACCAAUAGUAGCUCCAAAAUAUGAUGUGACAAAAAUUUAAAUAUUGAGUGAUUCAUAUCCGAGAACAAUAAGUGUUACACCCCUUUACAGAAAGAUCACCAUUCUUGAACUCAAAAAUUCAUAUAAAGUCCUUUUUCAUAGAGCCAAACAAAACUAGCAGCAAUAAAUAUGGAAAUCAUAAAACCAAAUGCCAAGGCAUAAUACAAUUUUCCCAAGAAUGCCAAGAUGUAGACAAUACUAGUAACGACAAUGAAAAGAUCACUCAAUCCACCAAGAACCAGCAAACUAAAAAUUGAAUGGGAUCUUCACACACAAAAAAGACCAUAGAUGUUGCCAAUAACUAGAAAACAUGAAAUCACCAAGAGACGCGCUAGCAGUUCACAUAAUUAGAAUCGGUACUAAUAUGAUAUAUAGACACUUUCUGUUUCCGUACUUCUUCUUUAACUGACAGGAACUUUAAAUCCAUAUAUUUAGUACAUCUAGAAUACCUGUCAUUCUUAGAGAAGAAGACAGCUGCGAAAUUAUCACAAUAAAACUUCAGCGGCCUAGCUACACUAUCUAUAAUGCCAAGCCCUGAAGUAAAGUUCCGCAGCCACAACGCAUGAUUUGUGGCUUCAAAGCAUGCCACAAACUCAACUUCCAUGGUGGACGUAGCAAUUGUAGACUCUCUACCGCUUCUCCAUGAAAUGACUCCUCCAACCAUUAGGAAGGUAUACCCAAAUGUAGAUUUCCUUGAGUCCAUACAUCCUGCAUAGUCUGAACCCGAAUAACCGAUCACCUCAAGAUGAUCUGACCUUCCAUACGUGAGCAUGUGAUCCUUAGUGCCUUGCAAAUAUCUUAGAACCUUCUUUUCAGCUUUCCAGUGGUCCAUUCCGGGGUUACUUUGAUAUCGGCCUAACAUUCAAACAAUAAAACUGAUAUCCGGCCGAGUGCAUGUUUGAGCAUACAUUAAACUCCCAACCACUGAUGCAUAGGGAAUAGAUUCCAUUUCCUUACGUUCCAAAUCAUUCCUUGGACAUUGCUUUUCACUGAAUUUGUCCCCUUUCUGGAUUGGAAUUAUCCCUGCGGAGCACUUUUCCAUUCUGAAUCUCUCUAACACCUUAUUGAUAUAUCCUUUCUGAUACAAUCCCAACAAUCUUUGUGAUCUAUCACAAAAUAUUUUUAUUCCUAUCACAUAGGAUGCCUCCCCCAUAUCCUUCAUUUCAAAGUUAUUAGAGAGAUACUUCUUUACAUCAUGUAACAACCCUUUAUCAUUUGCAGCAAGCAAAAUGUCGUCGACAUAUAAGACUAAUAUUAUAAACUUGCUCCCACUGAAUUUCAUAUAGAUACAUCGGUUAACAGUGUUUUCAACAAAUCCAUAUGACGUAAUGGUAUCAUUGAACUUUAUGUACCAUUGUUUGGAAGCUUGUUUAAGUCUAUAUAUUGACUUAUUUAAUUUACACACCAAAUUUUUGUUUCCUUUGGUCACAAACCCUUCGGGUUGGUUCAUAUAAACUUUCUUGUUUAAGUCACCAUUCAGAAAAGCGGUCUUUACGUCCAUUUGGUGAAGCUCUAAGUCAUAAUGAGCCACCAAUGCCAUAACAAUUCUUAAAGAAUCUUGCUUUGAAACUAGAGACAAAAUUUCUUUAUAAUCAAUGCCCUCCUUUUGAGUGAAACCCUUGGCGACAAGUCUAGCUUUAUAUCUUUCAAUGUUGCCUUUCGAGUUGCCUUUCGAGUUGCGCUUGGUCUUAAAGGCCCAUUUACAGCCAACUCGUUUUGAACCCUCGGGCAACUCAGUUAGAUCCCAAACUUUAUUAUCGUCCAUUGAUUUCAACUCUUCUUUCAUAGCAUUGAGCCACUUUUCAGAAUUGUCACUUUCAUAGCUUGUAUGAACGAGACUGGAUCCUUAUUAAUGCUUAAGUCACAUUCAUGUUCAAGUGAAUACACAAUAUAAUCAUCAGAAAUAGUUGGUCUUCUUUGCCUUCCAGACCUUCUUAAUGUUAUUUCUUGUGAUUCUUCUAUCACUUGAUCAUUAAUGACUCCAUUAAUUGGUUCAUUAAAUAUUAUUUCAUCUUGUGGAUUUUGGAUAUUAUCUUGUUGUCUCUGUGGGUUAUUUGACGGUAAUAUAACCAGAGGAACAACAUCUUGAGGAGACACCUUCGGUGAAGAAGGUUUAUCAGAAGUCUCAAUAAUAUCCACCUUUCGUGAUUUAUCACUCCCACUGGUUUGACUAUUUUCAAUGAACCUAGCAUUUCCAGACUCAACUAUUCUCGUACUAUGGUUAGGACAAUAAAAUCUGUACCCUUUUGACUUUUCCGGAUAGCCAAUGAAGAAACCACUAAUGGUUCUUGCAUCAAACUUCUUUUCAUGUGGGUUGUACAUCUUUACUUCUGCUGGACAACCCCAAACAUGGAGAUGUCUCAAACUGGGUUUCCUACCAGUCCAUAACUCAUAGGGAGUUUUAGGAACUACUUUACUGGGAACCCUAUUCGGCAGAUACGCAGCGGUCCUUAAUGCGUACAUCCACAACGAUAAAGGUACAUCACAAUGAUUCAACAUUGACCUAACCAUCUCCAUUAGUGUAUGGUUCCGCCUUUCAGUCACACCAUUCUGUUGCGGUGUGUAAGGCAUAGUGUAUUGAGCACAUAUGCCUCUACUUUCGAGAAACUUUGCAAAUGGUCCAGGACAUUGUCCAUUCUCAUUAUACUUUCCAUAAUAUUCACCACCUCUAUCAGACCUCACAACCUUAACCUUAUUUUCAAGUUGCCUUUCAACCUCGUCAAUAAAUACCUUUAGGACAUUUAUUGAUUGAGAUUUUUCAUGCAACAAAUAUAGGUAACAAUAACGUGAGUAAUCGUCUAUAAAAGUGAUGAAGUACUUUUCACCACCCCAAGAUGGAACAUCAAAUGGACCACAAAUAUCCGUGUAAAUCAAUUCAAGAAGUUUGCUACUUCUUAUGGCUGGGUUCUUUAAUAUGUAUUUAGUUUAUUUUCCUUUAAUACAAUCUAAAUAAACAUCCCAAUUGCCAUAAUCCAAAUGAGGCAAAAUCUCAUUUUUCGUUAACCUCAUUAUCCUUUCUUUGGAUAUAUGGUAUAAUCUUUGAUGCCACAAGUAAGCAGAAUUCUUAUCAAAAUAUUUAAGUUUGCUACCAACAUCAUGCUCAACAUUAAAUAAAGAUUCCUUAAAUUUAAAAUCAAGAUUGAAGCAAUAUAAACCAUUCAUUAAUGUACCAGAACCGAAAUAGUACGAGUGUUUAUACAAAUUAAAAACAGAAUGCCCAAUCUUAAAAUUAAAACCUAAACAAUCCAGCUUAGCAAUAGAAACCAAGUUCCUGGCACAUUUAGGAACAUAAAGACACUUUUCUAUAUCUAAAUAGUUUCCACUAUCUAGGAUCAAUCUGUAUGUUCCAAUUCCAUGAACUUGUGCCUGCAUUCUGUUCCCCAUGUAAAGAAACUUAUCAGUUUCCUGGGUUCGGAUUGAAAGGAAUCCCUGCAUAGUAUACGACACAUGAGUUGUUGCACCAGAAUCUAACCACCAAGUAUUAUUAGGAACCUCAAUAAGAAAUGAUUCAUCUAUAACGGAAACAAAAAUGUUUACCUUUCUUUUCGAACCACUUCUUUCUUUUAGGGCAAUCCUUCUUAAAGUGUCCAUUCUUCUUACAGAAGAAGCACUUCAUUUCUUUAUGGAUUCUCCCUUCUUUAAUGGGGACCUUUUCCUUCCCCUUUCCUUUGUUCCUAUUGCUUGGCCUGAAUCUGCUGCUGGUGCUACCUGGCUCUUGAAUGGUCAUGUGAAUGGAGUCAUUCAUAAUUUUCUUUAGCCUACCCUCCUUUUGAACGAGCAUGGCCUUUACUUCCUGAAAAUUCCAUUUUUCCUUUAUGGUGUUGUAAUUCACCUGGAAUUGGCCAAACUCAAUAGGAAGGGAGUUAAUGAUGAACUGUACUAAGAAUGCUUCUGUCACCUCCAUUCCUAUACCUUUCAUUUUCGCAACCAGAUUUGACAUACUGGUUACAUGAUCAUGAAUGGGCUGUGACUAAUCAAACUUCUUGGUCGUCAGCUCUGUCAUGAGGUUUCCCACCACAGACUUUUCAGUAAUGUCUGAUUGGGAGUACUCCUUGAUCAUUCUCAUAAAUUCCCUUGCAUUAUUUGUCUUAGGCAUAGAUGGCUUGACAUUGUCAGAGAUUGGCAUUCUCAUCAAGCUAAGACUCAACUUGUUUGACCGCUCCCAAGCCUCAUAAAGAGUCUUGUCUGCCUCCGUGCUGGUCUCAAUUAUGGUUGGUUCACUAUCCAUAAUGAUAGCCAAGUCCAACUCCAUUACACCCAGUGAGAACUGGAUCUGUUCAGACCAAUCAACAUAAUUCAGUCCGUUGAACUUAACACAUCCGUUGCCUAAGGCGAAAGCAUUGAAUGAAGCUGAAAAAAGACAUACUCACUCUUUAAUGCUUUGAUUAAACUUUAUGGAUUCAAACUAUACUAUACUUUUAUUCAUGCACUUAAUUUAUCUUUGGAUAAAAUUUAAAUGCAUUAAACCUUCAUUAAUGAUGCCUAAUAUUAUACUUUAAUGGGUAAUUAAUCAUACUCCUUAAACAUACAUGUUAUCUUUGGAUAAACGAGCACAACAAGUAUUUUUUUAAAACUUUAAUGUCACUAAAUACAUGCAAUAAUCCACCUUUGGGUGAUCAAGAUAUGCAUUAUAAUUAAUGAACAAACCCAAUUUAUUAUCCUCAUGACAUCAUAAUCUUAAUUACAAGCAAUGAUCCACCUUUGGGUGAUCAUAAUAUGCAUCAUAAUUUUAAAUGUAGCACACGAGGAGAUCUCGCCCAAGCGGGAGAUCGUCGCCCAAGCGCUAUUUCGAGACAAAAAUUUGAUGUCUAUUGUUUCUCCCUCGCCCAAGCGAGGUUAUCAAGCAUGGAGAAAACUGAUUUAUUGAUUCAUGAUUCUUCGCAAAAAAUCAUUCACAGAAUUUUGUUUACACAUAAAGACAUGCAUACACCAAUUAAUUCCAGAGAUACAAGAAAUGUCAUAAUGUCCCUAACCUUGUGUUGUGAUACCAAUUGUUAAUAAUUUUAGAGAAACUUCAUGAGUCUUUAAUGGUUCAUAAGAACCCUUUACAUUUAGGACCUUGACAUUAUGACAUUUACAUUGUGAUUAACAUAAAGUUAAGGAAUACCUGGUUCCAUUGCUAUUUCCUUAACUUGUGUUCUUUCCUUAUGCUCUUUCUGGUUGUCUUUUAUUAUCACCUCUCCUCCUUCCCUUUAUGAGUUCCUUGAUGAUUAGGAACUCAGUUUCCUUCCUUCCACUCUAUAACAGUGCACUGGACUUUAUUUAUGCAAAUCCAAGAUCUCUAUCUUAUUCUUGCUUUUAGUUUCUAUUCUUAAGAUAGAAAAAUGAAUUCACACUGAACAGAAUGUACUUUGCCUCUUUUAUUCCAAUGCCUGUUUUAAGGAGUUACAUAGGAAACUACCCAUGAAGUGAGAGGGGAGGGAGUUAACAAAACCCCCUACUAAUCUGAUCAGUUAAUUGCCAACCAUCAUCACAUUAUGCACUUUCAUUCAGAUUAGUAACUUUCAAGCAUAUGGACCACAUCGAUUAUUAAAUUAAUCUAACAACAACACCUUCUGCCAAAAUUAAUCUAUCCUUAUUAGUGAGAAUAAUAAAUUUCUCAUCCAUCUUAAUUUUGCAGCCAAUAUCCCUUUCAAUAUUGGUUAUAACUUUCUCUGUAAAGAGCAAUGUUAUUAAAACCGGACCGGUCAUCAAACCGGUGAGGGUACUGGUUUAGUGGUUCAAUCAAUGGUUCAGUAAUUAAAUCGCAUGGGAUUAAACCGGUUAAACCGGACAUACAUGCUUAUAUAUAUAUGUGUGUAAACCUGUAACAAAAAUUAUCUAAUAUGUAGAUACUCAAAUUUAUAAUCCAUAUUUAUAGUCAAAGUAAGAAUUCUCAUAAACAAACAACUUUAAUAAAUCCAAAGUCUAAAUUACAAAUAUAAAUAGUAAUCCACAAAUACUAGUCUAGAUGAAAAAGGAUUGAGAAGAAAUGGGAUUAAGAAUUGAGAAGGAAUGAAGGGUUUGUUCGUGUGAAUGAAGAAAAGUGGUUUCUAAUUCUAUGUGGUAUGUGCCUAUGUGAGUUCUUUAAAAUUACAUGCAUGUACCGGUCGGUUCAAUCAAAUUCCGGCCGGUUCACCGGUUUUGACACGGUUUACUGGUUUUUCUCCGGUUUACACCGGUUUUGAUGCUUAGCCGGCACAACACUUGUUUCGUACCGGUUAUGGGACCGGUUGACCGGUUCUCCGGUCGAACCGGCUGGUCCGAACCGGUUUUAAUAACAUUGGUAAAGAGUGCUCUUAAUUGUUUGUCUCUUGCUAGUAUAUGUUCAAAGAAAUCUUGAUAUUUGCGAUUUGCUCCAAGUCUAGAUGGACAACCCUGCCUGAAAUGCCUGAUUCUCCACAAAGUUUGCAUAUCAUUUCUUCUUCCUUUUCUUUUCUUCCAAUUCCUCUCGGUGGCCUUUGACUAAGCCUCCCAAACCUGACAUUUACCGAAGGAGAGCUAGUCACAAAAGAAAGAUUUGAACAUACAAAAUCAAUGCUAGAAGAAAAGUUAACAGAUCUUCUGGUGCCCUACCUCCACAUGAACUUCAAGAUGAUUCGUUGUUGAAUCUUGGAAAGGAAGAAACAUAAGCGGAUGUCAUGAAAGAAAAUAUUAUUGCUCUUAUACUAUGCUAAAAUUUGAUUUGAGUCAUGAAUAAUCUUAUUGAUGAAACAAGAAAGAUAGAAAAUACAUGAAUGAGAAAGAAAAGAAAAGAAAAGUUUAAAGCAUAAAAAAAGGAAGAAGGAGAAAGAAUAAAGAAUCCUUCUUAUUGUAUUUCAUUAUUUAUUACAACAUAUUUUAUAUUUAGUGGAGGUUUUUUAUGUGAUUAGUGGAGGUUCUCCACUAUAUAACUAGUGGAGGUUUCACAAACCUCCACAGUUAUGACUGCUAGAAGCGUUUUACGAAUGUUUUAGAAAACCUCUGGUAUCUAUUCAUUUGUAGCGGUUUAUUUGUGAAGGUUUUUAACCUCCAUUAUUUGUAAAGGUUUUUAACCUCCACUAUUUGAGGAGGUCUUUGUAAUGUUUUUAGAGAAUUUCAACCUCAGAUUAAUUUCAUAAUUUUCACAAGUUUAAUCUCAUUAAUUUAUAGUUAUUAUUUAAAUAUAUAAUACUAAAUACAAAUGUUCUUAACAAUAAUAAAAUUUCAUUGCAAAUACCCAAAGUAGUGUAACAUAGUUGAAACAAUCAUCAUUCACUAUAAAUCCAAAUACACCAUAAAAUCUCAAAAAACUAAAAGUAAUCUCAUAUUACACUUUAGAAACAAAAUACAUAACAAAAAUCCUAAAUGUUACUGGCUUCAGAUGAUCUUCUUGCACCUAAAGGUGUAUCAUGCUACUUGCAUCAUCAUCUGAUUGAAAUAAUAAAAUGAAUAUAUAUAUCAAACAAAUUGUUAUAGCAUAUAAGAAGUGUUAGAGAAGGUAAAACCAUAAACUGAUUAUUUUACUUCCCUCAAUGACAUAGGUCACCAUAUUUAUCAAACAAAUCUUGUAAAGAAAUCAAGCAAUCAGGUUCUGUACACACCCCAAUACUUUAGGUUGUUACAAAGACCACCACCUUCAUACCAAAACUAUAUACAUUAUUCUACAUUAAAAGAAAAGAGACAAACUACUACAUAAAAAUACCAUUCCCUGCUAUGCCAACGACUAAAAGAUUUAGGAUGUAUCCUAAAUCUUUUCCAUAUAAAUCCACUUACCAUUGGAAAAUAUAUGUAAUAUUUAAUGUAUGGUGGCAUAUUUAUAGCCCAAAUAAUCCUACUCAAACAUCACUAUUGAACAUGUGCCUUACAUCUCUGACUAUCAAAACCAGACUAUAGGUGUACAUAAAAUAAUAUAAUGCAAGAUUGCAUGAAUCAAACAAAAUACUGAAUAUAAUAAUGGUACUUGCACAUACAUGUGUAAAGAAGUUAGCUAAUCCUUCAUGGAUCUCUCCUUCUUUCAUUAUGAUGUAUGACUUAAAUGUUGAUUCCAAAUUGUUGCAUCUCUCUUGCCAAUCGUUAGAAGAUGAAGAUGUGGCAACAAAUGAUGAAGAGUGGCUCAAAUCAGAACUCGAAGUCUAGUAUUCCAAUAUGAAUUCGUAGGAAUUGCUCCCAUACCCAUAGUUAGCACUCUUCCAGAGUGAUCUGGUCCCAUCACUCUACCAACUAAAUCAUUAGGAGAAACUUCAGAUUCAUCAAUGUUGGUUUGAGUCAAAGCCUCUUGAAUUUAUUCCUACAUGCAUGCAAAUAAAAUAUGUAAAAUGUUACUUGUAAACAACCCACAGUAGUAAAUAACACUUUGUUCAUAAUCUAUAUAGUCAAUAAAAUUGAUCAUGUUCAAAGUUUCUCAUCAAAUCUAGCUAGAAAAACUUACCUUAAUUUGUGUAGCCAUAAUCACAAAACAUAGUCAAAAAAACAUAAACGGCGUCAUUAUAUUAUAUUACAAAUGCAGUUUAGUAAUUUAUUCAUUGGUUUUCUAACCACUCAACAUCACACCACAAAUCAUGUUAUACAUGUGGUAAAAAAAUAGAAAUUAGAAAGUCAGAUGAACAAAAAGGGCGACUAUCACCCAAUAAACAAGGCUCUCGCACCUAGAGACUCACCUAAUUUCCUAACUACAAUCUUACUUGUUGUGCCGAGUCUCACAUGAAACAAUGAUGAUAAAUUAAAAGGAACACAGAGCCACAACAAUCACACGAGGUAAAAACUUGCAAAUAUACCUCUCUUCCAGGAUGGAAAGGAACUUCAAGUCCACUAGUGAUCUCAACAGCAACGACUCCACCCAACUGUGUUACCAUAAAAUUAACAUUUAAACACUACACCACCAAAAUAAAAGAACUAAAAUUUUCCACAUCUUAUAUCUAAUAAAUUAAUAAUCACUAAUAAGGCAGUGGUAACAUUUUACAGAUAUGUAACUACUUGUAAGGUUGUGGGCAAAUUGUGUCGGACAAUACAUCAUAUUGAAUAAUCAAAUAAUCUCAACAUUGUUAAGAUAAUAAGUCUCCUAGUGAUACAACAAUUUUCACACUAUAUCAUCAUAGUCACUGUUUAUUAAAAUUCAAAUUAAAUAUGCUACCUAUAAGGAUGUAUGUUAAUGCUAUGAUAUUUGUUAUGAGGUUUAUUAGAAAUGGGAUAUGAUAGAGUAUUAUAAUUAGUUAUUUGGAUUUAAUUAAAUAAAUUGUAUUUAAUAUUUCUAGAAUGUUCUUCUAGUAUUAGAUGAUGACACUUGUAUGGUCAUCAUCAUCUUAAGAUUUCUUUACAUCUUUAAAUAGUAUCUUGUUCUUACUUGAAUGAAUCAAUGAAAAAUAAAGAAUUUACUCUUUUAUUAUCCUCUUAGUUUAUAGCUUUCUUAGGAGUAGAAUAAUUCAUAGUGUUCUUGGUAGAUUGUUAAUCUCCACUUAUCAAUUGGUGCUUUCAUUGAGAGUAAGAACAAGAUACUACACUAUCCCACGUUUGGUGUAUGUUUUGAAAUAUUUAUGGAUUUGGGGUAUUUUUUUAAUGGAUCUCGUGGAUGGUAUCCACGAUUUCACCAAAGUCGUGGACCUCAUCCACGAUUUCCCACCAAAGUCGUGGACCACAUCCACGAUUUCCUUACACCGUGUCCGGUCCCUGUAAGUCGUGGACCAGGAACACGAGUUUCAUGGCAAUCUCGUGGACCCGGUACACAAGUUCCAUGCAAUCUCGUAGAUGAUGUACACGAGAUCCAAGUCGUGUCUUGGAUCUACGACAUUCAAGCAAUAUUUAUACCCAUCCAUCCUGACUAUAAACCACUCUGAAGAAAGAAAUUGUAUGAAAAAUCUUUAGGUUAAUUUGUAAUUGAAGAACUGAGAUUAUUUAAGGUAACUAAAAAUGCUUUAUAUUUUUUCAGUUCAUUUACUUUAUAGUUAAUUUUAUCUAAUGUUACUUAUGUUUAAAUGUAAACAUCGUUUGUUUAUAUUUUACUGUAUGUUAUAUGUAGAUGAUAGAGAUAUUGUUAGUGAUUUUAGUGAUGAGGAGGACAUUGAGCUAUGUGAUGAUGAUGAUGAUGUUCAGAUUACCACUACUGAACUAGUUAGCAUAACAUAUGAUACUCCUUCAUCUUUUUUCGUUAGCAUUGAUUAUCAGUCUGGACAAGAUUUUCCAUAUAGAAGUACUGACAUAAGUACUAAUAUGGAUAAUAAUCUUUUUGUUGGUAUGUAAUUUGAAUCAAAGGAAGCAACAAUAAAUGCUGUAAAAAAAUUUCAUAUUAGAAAUUUUGUUGAUUACCAUGUGGAUGAGUCUAGGCCAGAUAGAUAUUUUGCAAAAUGUAAAUAUUAUGGUGUUGGGUGUGAAUGGAGACUUCAGGCAUCGAAAAGUGUGAAGCGUUAUAUUUGGGAGAUUAGAAAAAUUAGUGGAAGACACACUUAUGUAUCCACUAAUAUUUCUUAAGAUCACACGAAGUUGAACUCAUCUUUCAUCGCAAACUGCAUUGUUCAACUAGUAUAAGAAGAUCCUGGUAUACCAAUUAAAGCAUUAGUUAAAGAAGUGGUCACUCGUUUUGGUUAUACGGUGACAUAUAGGAAGGCUUGGACUGCUAAAAAAAUAGCAAUGUCCCAAAUUUAUGGUGAUUUGGAGGGAUCAUACAAGGAGUUACCUCGUUGGUUGAAUGUUGUUCAAUAUUAUGCAUCAGGUACAAUUGUAGGAUAUUCAGCAUCUAACUAUGAAGAACAUGAUACUUUAAUGACGUCUAACCAGGUACAAUUGUAAGAUAUUCGGGAUAGGUGUGCUCCUACAAAUGUGUUUCCACAUCCGUUGCAGUCAUUGAAUGACGUCUAUCAAAACUGCAAUGAGAUGAUGGAAGCGUUUGCUCAACUACUUCUCAAGCUCCUCCUACACAACAAUUUCAAAUGCCUUUUGCACCUGACUAUCAACAACAUUAUGAGAGUCAAAAUCAAACAUAUAUUUAUCCGUAGGCAUACACUCAAACUCCUGCUCCUCAGCAACAACAACAACAACCCUUUGGGUUUGACCGUUACAGAGCAAUGGGUGACUACUCAUUUUCUCACUUAGCAUCUUCUUCGCAAUUUCAAGAAAUUCCAUCAAUGUUUGGAACUACUUCAAAUACUCCAUUCUCGGCAUUGAACUCUCAACAAUAUUAUCAACUGACAAUGCCUUCACAAACAAAGAAAGACGAUGAAGAUGAUGACAAUGAUAACCAUGAUGAAGACGAAGAUGAGCAGCAACCACAACUAGUUAGAGGUGGAAGACAACAUCAAUCGCAACAACAACAACUAAGAGUCCAACCACCUUGAAGGAGAAAGUCACCUGGAUGUGGAACAUCAUCUCAUAAACGCCAUUAGGAAUUUUUAUUCUUGUUUUGUUUUAUGUAAUGUAAUGAUUUUCAAAUUCCUACUACAAUUAUGAAAUUUUCUUGUUCUGUUUUCUAUGAAAUUUUCUUAUUAUUCCAAUUUAUGCAUUUAAAAUAUAUGUUAAUAAUUUUAACAAAAAUUAUCCAAAUUCCAUAAAAUUAAAACUUUACUAAAAUUAUCAUAUUCAAAUAAAUUUUAAUUUUACAAGUUUAAUUUAAUUAUAUUAUAAACUAAAAAUCAUAAAAUAUUAAACAAUAAAUUAAAUUUCGUGCAAAGGGAAAUUUAAAAAUGUAUAUCCCAUACACGAUUUCACUAAGGAGAGAGAAACUAUGCAUGAAAAUCGUGGAUAUGGUCCAUGAGUUUGAUAAAAUCGUGGAUGGCAUCCAUGAGAUCCUCAAAAGUGCAUCAUUGCUGUAAUUACUUGAAAAUGUACCCCAAACGUGGGAUAGUAUAGUCAAACUAUAUUACCCACGUAAAUUUUCGCUAACAAUCACUAAUUUUCCACACUCAGUUCACUCCAAACACAUCAUGUAUUUCAAUUUCCUUUGUUCAUGAGAGAAUUCAUUAAUGAAACAGAUUGGAAAGAAAACAUAAAAAAACAAAGCCACAAAUCCUUCAAAAAGACAAAUCACAACUUCACAUAGUGUAGACAAAUUGGAAACUUAAGAAUGGAAAAUAAGAGAGAGAACUUGGAGAGCGAACCUCGAGAGAGAACUUGGAGAGAGAACCUGGAGAGAGAAGCUGGAGAGAUAUUGGAAACUUUAGGUUUUGUUGUAGAGGGUUUCAUUGAUAUUGGAAACUGGAGAGAUAUUGGAACCUGAAUAGAUUUAGGUAUUGUUAUGGAAAAGUAAUAUUAAUGGAUAUGUAGUUUUUCAAAUUGAUAGCGGAGGUUGAAAACCUCAAAAGAUUAAAUAAAAAACCAAUACUAUAUAUUUAGUUAAUUAUUCGGCUCACCUUGUUGAUUUAUGUGUGGAGGUUUUAAUAACCUACACAAAAAAACCUCCACAAAAUACAAAAUUUGGUAUAGUGAUUCUCAUUGUGAUUACAAAGUAUGAUAAUCAUCCUUUAUAUACUCCAUCUAUCAAAUGAGAAGGAAAACAUAAUGAAAAACAGAAAACAUAAUUACAACUAUUUUAACAACAUCUUCCAAUUCUUCUAAUUGGAAGAGCUUAUAUAUCCGUUGACUAAGUUAUGAAGGGAAAAAUAGUGGACACAUGGGCACAUAUAUUAGAUGUGGACUACCAUCCCAUACCAGGUGACUCUAAAAUCCAUGUUAAAAUGCAAUACUUUGAUGUUAUGAAUUAUAACAAUUGGUCCCAAGGAGGAUUAAGGAGUCCACAUUUUGAAAGUGUUCCACAGGGUUGUGAAGUUACUUUUCACUAAGAUGCACAUGUCCUUGUCGGCUCUAUACCAAUGUUCCAUUUGUUUGGAGGAAAAUAUUAUCAACCUGGUAGGUAUUGGGACUUGGGAGGAUAUCUAUAAUGCCAUUUUGGGUGCUAAGCAUUUUAUCUGCAUAAUUGGUUGGUCUGAUCCUACUGAAAUAAAAUUAGUUAGGGACCCAAGCAAACCAAAAAUCAUGUACAAAGCAUAUGGUGGUUGUGCUUUUGUUUCAUUGCAGCAUUUUUUUAAUCUUGGAUUGUUAAAAGAUGAAAGGUGGAUGAGCAUAAACAAAGAGGUGUAAUGAUCAGUCUAUCCCUUCACAUCCUAGUUCGUUAAUCAUGUUAUUUAACACCUGUGAAAGAUAUUUCUAAAAUAUUUGAAUUCACGAAUUAGUAUAUACAUAUUGUUGAUGAUUUAUGAAACAUGAUAUGAUUUGGUCUAGUGGUUGUGUUGAUUUAUGUGUGGAGGUUUUAAUAACCUACACAAAAAAACCUCCACAAAAUACAAAAUUUGGUAUAGUGAUUCUCAUUGUGAUUACAAAGUAUGAUAAUCAUCCUUUAUAUACUCCAUCUAUCAAAUGAGAAGGAAAACAUAAUGAAAAACAGAAAACAUAAUUACAACUAUUUUAACAACAUCUUCCAAUUCUUCUAAUUGGAAGAGCUUAUAUAUCCGUUGACUAAGUUAUGAAGGGAAAAAUAGUGGACACAUGGGCACAUAUAUUAGAUGUGGACUACCAUCCCAUACCAGGUGACUCUAAAAUCCAUGUUAAAAUGCAAUACUUUGAUGUUAUGAAUUAUAACAAUUGGUCCCAAGGAGGAUUAAGGAGUCCACAUUUUGAAAGUGUUCCACAGGGUUGUGAAGUUACUUUUCACUAAGAUGCACAUGUCCUUGUCGGCUCUAUACCAAUGUUCCAUUUGUUUGGAGGAAAAUAUUAUCAACCUGGUAGGUAUUGGGACUUGGGAGGAUAUCUAUAAUGCCAUUUUGGGUGCUAAGCAUUUUAUCUGCAUAAUUGGUUGGUCUGAUCCUACUGAAAUAAAAUUAGUUAGGGACCCAAGCAAACCAAAAAUCAUGUACAAAGCAUAUGGUGGUUGUGCUUUUGUUUCAUUGCAGCAUUUUUUUAAUCUUGGAUUGUUAAAAGAUGAAAGGUGGAUGAGCAUAAACAAAGAGGUGUAAUGAUCAGUCUAUCCCUUCACAUCCUAGUUCGUUAAUCAUGUUAUUUAACACCUGUGAAAGAUAUUUCUAAAAUAUUUGAAUUCACGAAUUAGUAUAUACAUAUUGUUGAUGAUUUAUGAAACAUGAUAUGAUUUGGUCUAGUGGUUGUGUUGAUUUAUGUGUGGAGGUUUUAAUAACCUACACAAAAAAACCUCCACAAAAUACAAAAUUUGGUAUAGUGAUUCUCAUUGUGAUUACAAAGUAUGAUAAUCAUCCUUUAUAUACUCCAUCUAUCAAAUGAGAAGGAAAACAUAAUGAAAAACAGAAAACAUAAUUACAACUAUUUUAACAACAUCUUCCAAUUCUUCUAAUUGGAAGAGCUUAUAUAUCCGUUGACUAAGUUAUGAAGGGAAAAAUAGUGGACACAUGGGCACAUAUAUUAGAUGUGGACUACCAUCCCAUACCAGGUGACUCUAAAAUCCAUGUUAAAAUGCAAUACUUUGAUGUUAUGAAUUAUAACAAUUGGUCCCAAGGAGGAUUAAGGAGUCCACAUUUUGAAAGUGUUCCACAGGGUUGUGAAGUUACUUUUCACUAAGAUGCACAUGUCCUUGUCGGCUCUAUAUCCCUUCACAUCCUAGUUCGUUAAUCAUGUUAUUUAACACCUGUGAAAGAUAUUUCUAAAAUAUUUGAAUUCACGAAUUAGUAUAUACAUAUUGUUGAUGAUUUAUGAAACAUGAUAUGAUUUGGUCUAGUGGUUGUGUUGUUUGACUACAACCUUGAGGUUGCAGGUUCAGCUCUCGUUGUGCACGUUUGUUCACAUUCUAUUUGCAUAUUAUAAAUUCAGAUAAAGUACGUUAGCUAGAUUCGAACCAGGACACGCUACUUGCCAAGAAAUAUAGUUGCCGCUAGGCUAUCAUGACUGUUUGAUUAAACAUUGAACAGUUAUGUUACAUAAUCUUUCGGAUCAACUCAUAUAUAAUUCCAAAAGUGUUUUUUCCCACCAAGUGAUAUGAAAUUCUCUAUAAAUAGAGAGACACUUGAAGGCAUAAUUGAAUCAUCUGGAUUUUGAUCUAUAAGAAAUCAUUCUCCAUUUCUCUAGUGCAUGAGAGAAGUGUAGGAAACAUAAAUUUUGUAAACUGAUAUUGAAAGAUACGCUUGUUGUGUUUGUGCAAAACACAUCUAGGUUUUCCAAAGUAUCCUGAAGGGGAUUCACUAUUCAUCCCAUUUGCAUCCAAUAUACUUAAAUUGGUGGGGGAGAAUGGAACCUAACGGUUAGUGUGGCAACACACGCUUUGGACGUUUUUACGUGUAUAUUCAUCAACCAUUUCUUUGUUCAAGUGUUGCAGCAUCUUCCCAACAAUUCAUGUUUUCUAACAAUCUUUAGGUUCGAAUUUGUAUUAAUGGCUGCUUCACUCAAAGAAAUGACUUCUGAUUUUGUGAAAUUGGAAAAUUCUGAUAGAGACAACUUUAUUCGCUGGAAAAAGAAGAUGAAAUUACUUCUUACCACUUUAAAAGUGGUAUAUGUUCUUGACACCACAAGGCCAUUAGAGAAUGAAGAAGAAAUAAUUGAAGAAACGAGAGAGACAGAGAGAGACAAAAAUAGGACAAUGAUGAUUAUUUAUGCAUGGACCACAUACUCAACAGUAUGCCAGACUCCUUGUUCGAUAUUUUUCAAAGUUGUCAUUCUGCAAAGGAUUUAUGGGAGAAAUUAGAAUCAAGAUACAUGCAAGAGGAUGCAACAAGUAAGAAGUUUAUUGUUUCUCAUUUCAAAAAUUAUAAAGUGGUAGACAAUAGAUCUGUUAUGGAAUAAAUGCAUGAAAUUGAACGUAUCCUUAAUAACUACAAACAACAUAACAUGCAUAUGGAUGAAAUAAUUAUUGUAUCCUCCAUAAUAGCAAACUCCCUCCUUCAUGGAAUGAUUUCAAAAGAGCCAUGAAGCAUAAGAAAGAUGACAUAUCUCUUGAGCAAUUAGGUAAUCACCUUCGUUUAGAAGAAGAGUAUUAAAAAACAAGAUGAUACUAAAAAUCAAAUUGCUCAUAAAAAGGUCCAUGUGAUGGAGGAAGGAGGUUCAAGUAAAAUUUCCAAGAAAAGAAACCGAGAUUUUAAUAAGUCUCAUGAUAAUCACAAUGGUAAUGACAACAAAAGAAUGAAAAAGAACGAUAAUUUUUGUGAAAAUAUAUUCAAGAGUAAUGUUGUUAAUAAUAAUGAUGAUAUGUUAUCUGCUUAUAUUCUUGAGUCUUGUGAUUUAUGGCAUAUGUGACUAUGACAUGUUAAUUUUAGAAAAUUGGAUGAUAUGAUGAAAUCAAAAUUAAUUCAUACUCUUGGCAAAAUUUUAAAUUCAUGUACUACUUGCAUGUUAACUAAAAUCUUAAGACAACCUUUUAAAAGAAUAGAAAGAAGUUCUAAGGUGCUAGAUUUAAUUCAUUCUGAUGUAUGAUUUACAUGGUUGGCCCACUAUUGGUGGCAAAAAGUAUUUUGUUACAUUCAUUGAUGAUUGUACUAGAUUCUGUUAUGUUUAUCUAAUGCACUCUAAGGAUGAAGUUUUAGGUAAAUUUAAAUUUUUUAAAGCACAAGUAGAACUUGAACAUGAAACUUUCAUUAAAUGUUUUAGAAGUGAUAGGGGAGGAGAGUUUUAUCAUCCUAAUUAUUUUGAGUCUAUUGGUAUUAUGCAUCAAACAAUUGUACCAUACUCCCCACAACAAAAUGGAAUAUCAGAAAGAAAAAAUAGAGUAUUAGAAGAAAUGGUAAAUGUCAUGUUAUCCUAUUCUGGUGUGUCAAAAGGUUAUUGGGGUGAAGUCAUGUUAACUACCUGUUAUAUGUUAAAUAGAGUUCCUAAUAAAAGGAACAAAGUAACCUCAUAUGAACUCUAGAAGAAAAGAAAACACAAUCUAAACUAUUUAAAAGUUUUGGGUUGUAGAGCAAUUGUAAAAGUUCUUGAACAAAAAAGAAAGAAAUUGGGUGAAAGAGGAAUUGAAUGUGUAUUUCUGGGCUAUGCUGAAAAUAGAAAAGCAUAUAGAUUCAUGGUCAUUGAAUCGAAUGAAUCAUAUCUUAUUAACAUAGUGAUUAAGUCAAGGGAUGCAAUUUUUCAAGAAAAUAGAUUUACCUCAAUUCAAUAUCCUAAAGACAUUAUUCAGUAUAAUAUGAGAAGUUUAGAAAACAAUGUAUCUAGUAAAGAUACUUUGGAAAGUUUAGAAACUAUAAGAAGUAAAAGGAUCCGAAAAGAGAAAAAUUAUGGACCAGACUUCUUUAUGUUCCUCGUUGAAGGAACAAACGAUUCCAUCAAUAGUUAUGGACCAAUUUGCUAUAAUUUAGAAAGUGAUCCAGAAGCAUAUGAUGAGGCAAUAAAAUCUCAAGAUUAUGCCUUUUGGAAAGAAGUUAUCCAAGAGGAAGUAGGCUCAAUUACGGAAAAUAGAACUUGGAAACUAGUUGAUCUUCUACCAGGAUCCAAGUCAAUAGGUCGUAAAUGGAUCUUUAAGAAGAAAAUGAAAGUUGAUGGUACCAUUGAUAAAUUUAAGACUAGACUUGUUGCAAAGGGAUUUACAUAAAAAGAAGGUAUUGACUAUUUUGAUAGCUAUGCACCUGUUGCAAGAAUUGCAUCCAUUAAAGUGCUUUUAGCAAUAGCUUCCAUCUAUAAGUUAGUAAUUCAUCAAAUGGAUGUUAAAACUGCUUUUCUCAAUGGAAAAUUAGAUGAAGAGGUGUACAUGAAACAACCUGAAGGGUUUAUUGUCAAAGGACAAGAAUACAAAGUGUGUAAAUUGAAUAAGUCUUUAUAUGGGUUAAAACAAGCACCCAAACAAUGGCACCAAAAAUUUGACAAAGUUAUGCUUGCCAAUGGGUACAAAUUAAAUGAAUCUGAUAGGUGUGUUUAUAGUAAAUUUUUAAAUGGAAAAUGUGUUAUGAUUUGUUUGUAUGUGGAUGAUAUGUUUAUAUUUGGUACCAAUUUAAAUGAGGUAGAAAAGACUAAAACUUUCUUAUCCAAAAUUUUUGGUAUGAAAGAUUUAGGUGAAGCGGGUGUGAUUUUAGGUAUUACAAUCAUAAGAGAUAGUGAGAAUAUUGGUUUGUCUCAAUCUCACUAUAUUGAGAAAGUGCUAAAGAAAUUUGAUCAUUUUGAUUGUAAAAGGGUUUCUACACCAUUUGGUCAAAAUGUUAGCUUACAACCACAUAAAGGUUGUCCGGUGGCACAACUAGAAUAUUCAAAGAUAAUCAGAUGUCUCAUGUAUGCCAUGACUUGUAUUAGACCUGAUAUAGCAUAUGAUGUUGGUAGGUUAAGUAGGUAUACAAAUAAUCCGAGUAAAAAACACUGACAUGUUGUUAAUAGAGUAUUGAAAUACUUGAAAGGAACAAUUAACUAUAAUUUAACAUGUAAUGGAUAACCUUCAGUUUUGGAAGGAUAUACAUAUACUAGUUGGGUAAAUUAUGUUGAAGAUCAUGCUUCCACAAGUGCAUGGAUCUUCAACCUUGGUGGAGUUGCACUUUUUUGGAGUUCAAAGAAACAAACUUUCAACGAUGCUAAUUUUUUGAAAGGAGAGUUUCCUCUUCGGUGUGUUCUCUUUAUUUUGUUAAGUAAGUGAACUCGGUUUUAUUCUUUGUUCGCCAUCUCGGCUUUAUUGAAAUAAAUUUCAACGUCAUUAUAAUGGUUUCAAGAAUAUUCCAGUUACAACUUACUUCUAAUAAUCAUGUGAAUAAGUUAUUCCUUCUUUGCCCAAUCUCGGCUUUGUUAGAAUAAAUUCUAAUGUCGGUACAAUGGUAUCGAAGCAAUCCCCUAUUACAUAAUUAAUAAGUACCUUUGAAUACCAUAUCGGUUUUGUGGAAUAAAUUCCAACACUGGUUUAAUGGUAUUUUAAUGUACAAAAGUGAUAAAUAGUUAGUUGUUAGAAACAAAUAAAUAAAUAAAGAACAAAAGAAUAAUAAAGAUAAGUGACCUUUAUUUAUUUACUUUUUUUCGGGUUCCUUUUAUUAACAAACCAAACUUCUUCCCUAAGGAAGGUUGGUAUUAAAGAAUAAAUAAAUUGUGCAACGUAAAUAACAAUAAUUAAAAGUUAGUAAGUUAGCUUCAUCACUUUUGUAUAUUAAAAGGUGUUUCAACAAAUAAUUUUAUUGAUAACACUUACUAUUUUACAAUUUACACCUCUUUCAAGAUUCAAUUGUAGUAUAGUAUAGGGUUAUGUUGAACGACAAGGAAUUGCCUAAUAGAAUGAAUCAUAUGAAUAUGUCAAUGCACAAAUAAUGAGNNNNNNNNNNNNNNNNNNNNNNNNNNNNNNNNNNNNNNNNNNNNNNNNNNNNNNNNNNNNNNNNNNNNNNNNNNNNNNNNNNNNNNNNNNNNNNNNNNNNUUAUUACUAAACAAUAUUACGUCCACAAAGAGACUAGGUUGUUACGUCCUAAUUUUGGCUACUCUAAUAUUGAAGUAAUGAUGAAUAUAAGAUCUUAAGAAAAGCAUGUUUAACUUGGUAAAUAAACUAAGUAGUACAAGUACUUCUUAGUUUAUUUAUUAAGUGUUUGAAACAAGUAAUUUUUCAUGACUUGAAAUCAGUUUUUAGGUGAUCAAUCUNNNNNNNNNNNNNNNNNNNNNNNNNNNNNNNNNNNNNNNNNNNNNNNNNNNNNNNNNNNNNNNNNNNNNNNNNNNNNNNNNNNNNNNNNNNNNNNNNNNNCAUGAGUCAUCCAUCCAAGGAUUGGAUGCUUUAAGUUCCAAAUGAUAUUACAAAAUGAAUUUUUGCAUCUCAUUUGCCUUCUCCUUUCUCCUCUUGAAUUAUAAACUAAAAACUAUAAAACUUACUUCAAAAGAACUUCUAUGAACUAAGAACAAGAAGAGAGAAUUGUGUUUCUAGGGAAGAAGAUAUGAUAUGAAGUGUGAAGUGUUCGAAUGAAAUGCCUCAUAUUUAUAGAAUUUUCCUGGAACCGCUGAGCUGCUUGUUUGCACCGCUCAGUAGCUGACCAAACCCUUCAGCAUGGGUUUGGUCACUUGGUCAAGUAGCUUUGUCACCUCCUUAAGCUUAACUCACCAAAGCUAGUUGUGAGCUGUGGGACCAGCUAUGGUGAGCUACUCCUGAAAAGCCUAUGGUGGGCUCCUUGAAGAGAUGUCAUGCAUGACUUCAUGGUUGCUUGAUGGCUAAGUCAAGUCUGGGUGCACACCAUUGAGCACACAUGUGGCACCGCUAAGCUGCUUGUUGAGAAGCUUUGGCCUGCUGACUGAGACGUGGAUUGGUGCUUGCUGACCUGGUCAGGUGUCUGGUUCACCGCUGAGCACACAUGUGUAACCGCUGAGCUGUUGCUUGAGUAGCUUGGGUGUGUGCCAGGCUUGUAUCUGACCGUGCUAAGCUUGAGUUCUGACCAUGUCUGGUGCUAGGCUGAGCAGUCAAGCAGGUCCGCUCAACUGCUUGCUUGAGCAGCUUGGUUUGUGCCAGGUUGGUGUCCAGGUUAGGCUGGUGUCCAGGUCAGAUAAACGUGGCUUGGUCCACGCUCAACUGUCUGCUUGAGCACCUUGAGUUUGACUUCUUUUUCUUCUUGGACCAUAAGUCUUUAUUCUAUUUUCUUUUUCUUUCUAAAUCCUACAAAACAAAUAAAAAAGAAAUGCAAACACAAAUAUACAAGAUUGUGAUAUUUUAUCCAAAAAGUAUUGUUUUAAGUUGGUUUUUCUCAAUUAUGCUUAAGAUAAGUGCCAUAAAAGUGUAUGAAAUUUAGGUAUGUUUGACACUUAUCACAUAGUCGACUCUACCAUGGCUGCAAAAUUUAUUGUUCUGACUGUAGGUAGUAAAGAGGUUGAAUGGCUAAGAAACUUAUUGUACGAGACACCUAUUUGGCCAAAGCUAAUGGCAUCGAUAUCUAUACAUUGUGACAGUCAGUUUAUGCUAUCAAAAGCAUACAACCAAGUGUAUAAUGGAAAAUCCAAACAUACUGGUUUGAGACAUAGCUAUGUAAAAGAAUUAAUUGCAAAUGGAGUAAUCUCCAUAGUGUUCCUAAGAACUAAAAAGAAUCAUCCAGAUCCUUUGACGAAAGGUAUGACAAAAAAUAUGGUGUUGAAAACAUCAUUGGGAUGGGACUCAAGUCCAUGUCUAAUUGAUCACAAAUAAUGUUAACUCAACUCACACUUGAGUAGCAUCAAGUCUUGAGUUCAAUGGUGGAAAAUACUAUUAGAGUGAUUGCAAGUACUUGACUAUAGACACAUCCCAAGUGAUAAAAGUACUUGGACCAUAAGUAAAAAGCUGGAAGGUUGAGUUUUAUUCUUAAUGGACAUAUAGCAAGAAUUUGCUUGAAUGCAUAUUAUGGGUGCAUUUUUUAUAUAGUCUACCUAUAUGAGAAUGAAGUUGGGUUACUUCUAUAGUUAAAGGGCUUGGGUCUCAAAUUAUCAUGAAAAAAGUACAUGACACAAGGCCUUAUUAAAUGUGUCAUAUUUAUAAUUCUUUCAAUAGUACCGAGAUUUCAUGUGUAAGUUGUGUACGCUUAUUCUAAUGAAUAUUUGGUUCAAAGUUUGUCUAUCAAUUUUAUUCAGAAUAAGUGGAACCCAUAACUUACUAUGUCAUGGUUCAAAUUGUAAGAUACCAUUAUCUGAAACCAUGAUAUUUUCAUAUUUAUGAUAUUUCUUAUAUUUUGAAAAUGGUGGGAGAUUGUGAUAGAUAUUUCCAAAAUAUCUGAAUUCACAAAUUAGUAUAUAUAUAUUGUUGAUGAUUUAUAAAACGUGAUAUGAUUUGGUCCAAUGGUUGUGUUGUUUGAUUAGAACUGGUUGUGCACUUUUGUUCACAUUUUAUUUGCAUAUUAUAAAUUCAGAAAAAGUGCAUCAACUGGAUUAAAUAGAUAGACACUUGAAUGCAUAAUUUCAGAUCAACACACACUUUGAAGAUUUUACGUGCAUAGCCAUCAACCAUUUCUUUGUUCAAGUGUUGCAGUAUCUUCUGAACAAUUCAAGUUUUCAAACAACACCUAGCCUUCGGUGAGUAGGUUCAACUCUAGUUGUGCACUUUUGUUCACAUUUUAUUUGCAUAUUAUAAAUUCAGAAAAAGUGCAUCAACUGGAUUAAAUAGAUAGACACUUGAAUGUAUAAUUUCAGAUCAACACACGCUUCGGAGAUUUUUACGUGCAUAGCCAUCCACGAUUUCUUUGUUCAAGUGUUACACUAUCUUCCCAACAAUUCAAGUUUUCUAACAACACCUAACCUUGGGUGAGUUGGAUUUCUUUGCUGAGAAUAUAAAAAGAGAGAGCCAAAAAGCCAAAAUGUGGUGUUGUGCCAAAAGAGAGAAAACGAGUGAAAAUAUUGCCAAGAUUGAAAUAGGAAUAAAAACCCUUCUUCUGUUUGGCCGUAGCUUUGGGACCCUUUUUUGAACCCCAAUCUCCACCAAUUAUCCCAACUUAGAUAUAUGGGUUUGAGAUUUUAAUUUUCAGUCAUGGAUUGGAAUCAAACAUCUUUGAUAAGGAGUAAGAAAGCUUCAAAGAGCUGCUUAAGGACUAUGAUACAAAAGAACUUGAGUUUAUCAAGCACAAAUUUUCAGCAUGAAACUAGGAUUGGUUUCUCUCAAAAAUUCAAUGCAAAAAGAACCAAUCACAUACAAUGGUGCAAGUUGGUCUCUUACCAAGUUGACACAUGUUCAGCGAAAAAAAAAGUUGACACAUUAACAUUAUAAAGAUCCCUGAGACACUUGACACACUAUCUUCAUCUCCUUCAAAUAUCUUCAUGCAGGUACAUAUUUUUUCGUCUUCACUACCUAUUUGGUCUAUUUCUUAUAUGAUAUACAAAAAAUAAUAAAAAUAUCCUAUCAUAAUGAUAUUAUAGGCAUAAAUAAAUCAAAAGUUUUAAUCAAACUAAUUUUAUUGGGAUUUGAAUAGCCCGGCCUAUAUCGUCUCUUCCUUUCUGCUCCAAGAGCGGAAAGUCAGUCUACGACCAGCAUUGUCUUUUUGCAAGUAAUUCCAUUUUUUCUAAAAAAAUAAAUCAUUUAUAAACAUCUUUUAAAUUAAAUUUAUGGGAUUUGAAUAGUCCGAUCUAGGACCCGUGUCGUCUCUUCCUUUCAACUCCAAGAGCCUAAAAUCGAUCUACGCCCAAUGUUGUCUCUUUGGUAUUAAUUUCAUUUUUAUAAAAACUAAAUCAUUUAUAUACAUCUUUUAAAUUAAUUAUGUGAGAUUUGAAUAGCCCAGUAUACGAUUUGUGUCAUUUCUUCAUUUUUGCUCCUAGAGUGAAAAGUAUGUCUGACUAGUGUUUUCUCUUUGAUGUUAAUCACACUUUUCUCAAUGGAUUGUCUCUUAGUAUAUACUUGAAAAAUUAAAAUAUUUUAAUAGGGAUUGAAUAGUGAGGUUACGACUUGUGUCACAUCUUUCUUUCCCUUCGAAUCGAGAAAUAAUUGUGGUCAUUAAUAUUGUCUUUGUUAUCUAUUGAAGCGAGAAGGGGGUAAGUGACAGAUAUCGAUUCUUAGUCUAUUAACCCCCUUCAAUCAACUUUAAUUAAUUUCUAAACUUUAAUCAUAACUAAUCAUUCAAGCUAAUCAUUUUUAAAUCAGAACUAAGUAGUCUUGAUUUCUUUAUUGCACUUAGGAAUACGUAUGAGCAAUAUGAACUCUUGUUAGACCCAAAUAUAAAAAUAUAUAUUUUGUUUUAGCAGUUCAAAUUUCAAAUAAAUUAUCAAGGGUAUAAAAGUCUAUGUCAUUAGUGAGGGUACCAUUUUAUUACAUGCGAACGAAUUGCUAAUACCUUCCCCGACCUAUAAUUGACUAUCGAGCUCAGAACUCAGGUUAAAAGACCAUAUUAUCCAAAUUUGGGCAUUAAAGAGAGUUUUCUAUGUUUUAACCGCAAAAAACGUACUAGUGACCCCAAACAAUUUGGGAGAGGUUAAAUCGAGUUUAUAUCUUCCUAACUUGUAAUGUCGGACUUUCAACUGAAAAUCGGAUCGCAACACAUGUGAUGAGGUGUGUGUGUCAUAUGUUAUUUAUUUAUAUUAUAUAUUUAGCAUUUUUUAUUAGAUUUUUGUUCCGGGAUAGAUUUCAAAUUUGAAAUUAAAUUUUGUGAUUAAUACAAAUAUUCGAAUAAGAUAUUAAUUAGUGUCUGAACACUUGAAAACACUUUUCGUGAUGGAAAAACAUAACAAUUUUAUAUAGCUGUAAAAUAUAAUAUAAUAUUCGUAAAUUGGAAAAAAAAAUAUUAUUUGAUUUUAUAAAAAUUAAAAGUGGUUGAAAUGCUUCUUGUUGAUAGAAAUUCAUUAAUGAUACUAUAAAAUCCCAAAAACUAUCGCAUAAAAAUAAUUAUUUGACUUUUAUGAAUAGUAAAAAUGAUUAAACUGACUUUUUUAAUUUUAUUUUAUUAAAGAACAUAAAUAAGAGGAAUUAAGACAUGUGUUUUUUCAAAUGAAAUCUCUUAUGCAAUAAAUGUACAUCCACUUAAACCCAUUGUUUAUUUUUUAUAUUAAAAGAAAAUGAAAUUUGUGGAAUUAAGUGCUAAUUUAGAAUAUAUAUAUUUUUUAAAAUAGUGACACAUUUGAAUUGGGAUAUGAAAGUAAUUAUUUUUAAAUCAAGAAUCCUUAUUUAUUUUUUAUUUUCGUUUUUAAUUAUUUAAUUUAGAAAACAAUUUUUUAAUUAUUAUUGGGUUUUUUUUGUCAGAUAAAAUUGAGUGUUCAUAAAUGUUUAUCUUUACUUGUAGCUUAUUGGGUCACACAUAUUGAUGUUAAGAUUUAUCAUGAUAGUAAAUAGUAAAGAAAUGAAAACCUAUUUUUUCGAGAUAUGGAGAACAUAUCGAAUGUUAUUUCUACUAAAUGUAUUUAUUAGCAUCCUUCGUGAGUUGAGUCAUUCGUCGAGUUCAUGCACUGAAGAACACAAAAAUGAAAGCAAAUCAAGAACACAAACGAGUGUAUUGUGAGAACUUGGAGAAAAAAAUAAAGAUAAUUCAGGAACGUAUAUUUUUUAUUGGAAGAGAACUUGGGAAGAAACAAUAAGAACACACCAUUAUUAAGAGAACUUGGAUGAAUAACAACAAGUUGUUCAACCUCAAUAGUCAAAAUGAAUGGACAAAGAUUAGGAUGACAAAAAAACUCAACCUACGAGUAUCUGCAAAAAUACCUGCAACGAGUUCCCAUAAUAAUUGCUUAUUGGUAGAUACAACAUAAUCCACCUCACAGUUAUCUGCAUAUUUAUAAAAUUAUUUUUAAUUAAAUUUUUGUAUAAGAUAAAGUUUUUUUAUUAUUACUAUUUUAAGAUUAUAUAUUAUAUACUUUAUUAUUAUUUAAUAAUAAAUUACCAUGAUUUAAUUAUAGUUAUAAAUUUAUUGUAUAAAUAUCUUAUUAUUUACGUAAUAAUUAUUUUUAUAUAUUAAUUAUUAGUAAAUAUAUAACUAUAUAAUUAAAAUAAAAAAUAUGUUAAUAUCUGUUACCGCAAAAAGUAUAGGUUUACUAACAAGAAAGCAGUACUCGUAAAUCGUGGCUGCCCCUCCCCAUUGCCAUGCGUAACAAAGAUCCCCAUGGACCAGUAUCAAGUCACACUCUACAAUCAUUAUCCAAUGGAAGUCCAAUAUUAGAUUCACCUAUAUCCACAUCAUUCUCCUCUAUAUAUUCAUCUGUGAUCUGUUUCUCGUCAUUGUUGCAAAUACACAAUUCUCAUUUCUCUUCUCUGAACAGUCAUAUUAGAAUUGUUUCUAAAAUAUGACAACCAAUACAUUGAUGAGCUCUGCUAUCUCAGCAUUCCCAUAUCCUCUUUCUUCAUCAAAAUCAAGAUCUCCCACUUCAGUUGCAGCUUCACGCAAUGGUACCAAAUCAUCAGGUCGCUUAUCCUCUUCUGCUGAGUGGUUCCCUGGCGAGCCUAGACCACCUUACCUUGAUGGUUCAGCUCCUGGGUAAGCAUCAAUUUCACAUUUUGUUUAUAACUUAUUCCAAAAUAUGAUUUUUUAUGAUGAUUAUGUUAUACAUUGUUGUUCCUUUUGUGUUUCAGUGACUUUGGGUUCGACCCUCUUGGUCUUGGUAGAGUACCAGUGCACCUUGAGAGAUACAAAGAAUCAGAAGUCUUUCAUUGCAGAUUGGCUAUGGCUGCUGUUGUAAGUGUCACUUUCAAACUAGAUAACUAUAUACCUGGGGCAGUGUUUUAAAUUGUUAUUGCAAUUGGUUGCGGUCACGACAACGGUUGUUAUUUCUGUGAUUGCAGUUAUUGCAGCCGUUGCGUGCAGAUUAGUUUGUGAUUUUUUUUUAAUUCGAUGUGGCUUGAUGCGGUCUGCUAUGAUUGUAUCUUUGUGAUUCGUUGUCAUACGGUGUAAUACGGCUGCAACGACCACCACUGCGGCCUCAUUAAGUGAUAGGGUCUGCCAUUUGAAUAACAGUUAAUGGGGAAAAUUAAGAAAGCUUAUUAGUAAGCUGAAAUUGUUUGAAUUUUGCAGCCAGGAGUUUUGAUCCCAGAGGCAUUGGGUUUAGGAAAUUGGGUACAAGCUCAGGAGUGGUCUACAGUUCCUGGAGGUCAAGCAACUUACCUAGGCAGCCCUGUUCCAUGGGGCACCCUCCCUGUCAUUAUAGCAAUUGAAGUUGUUGCUAUGGCCUUUGCAGAAAUCCAAAGGGUAGUAGAGAAAGACACUGAGAAGAAGAAAUACCCUGGUGGAUUUUUUGAUCCUUUGGGAUACUCUAAGGACCCUGAAAAGUUUGCAGAAUACAAAGUCAAGGAAAUUAAGAAUGGUAAGCACUUUUGAUAUAAAAGAUUGAAAUUUUCUAUUAUCGUGGAAUACCCGAGUGACAUUUUUGCUACACUUUUCAGCUCUAUAACACAUUUUUUCCUAUAAACUUGAAAAGUGUCACUCAUAAGUGUACAUAAAAUAGUGCAUAAGUGCACUUAAGAGAUCUGUAUUAGUUGUAUAGAAAGUUUAACAUAUUUGUUACUUGUUGAAAUGUGUAGGACGCCUUGCUCUAUUGGCUUGUCUGGGAUUCGCUGUUCAACAAUCAGUAUACCCUGGCACUGGACCAUUGGACAACUUGGCUGCUCACGUGGCUGAUCCAUGGCACAACAACGUUGGAAACAUCCUUUUCCCCAAUUUCUAGAUUCUGCCCCCAACA
rnacentral:lncRNA from 1 species